CUUCUGUUGGAAAUUAGCUGGAAGACAAAGAAGCCAUGUGUUGUGACAGGGCAUGCUUACUGUACCGGUGUGGUUGGGAUUUCCGGUGCACGACCUUCUGGGCAUGGCUGCACAGGUAAUUAAAGCUCAUUUGGAUUCUUUCUACAUCUCUGCUGACAGCGCUGUUUGGGGCAAGACUUUAGGAGACAAAAGUAGUUUGGCAGAUUUUUAUUUGGCUCUGGGGCUGAUGUGACUCCAACCGAGAAAGACAGGAAGAGGAGAGAAAGAGGAAAGGAAGUUGGACAAAACUCGGAUGUGGAAGAAGUGUGUGUGUGUGUGUGUGAAUGGAGAAGUCAGGAGAGUUUAGGGGGCAGUGUGUUUAAGCAGAGAUAGGCAGCAGCCUGUACAGGAGGCUUUGUGACCUACAUUGAGGUGGGAAGGGCUGAUAAAAAGAGAAAAGGAGUUAGAGACAGGGCAAGCAGAGGAAAGAGGAGAAGGAAAAUAAGAAGCAGGGAAAAAAGUAGGGGACAAAGCGGCCAGAGAUAGAGGUGAAAGAAAAACGAAAGGUAAAUAGAGGGAGAAGGGAGCAGGAGAGGAGAAAUCCAAGGGAAAGAAAAAAGGAAGCAGGCAAAAAAAAAAAAGAAGAAGAAAAAAAAAAAGAAAAGUGUUGGGUUUCAAAUCCAGCGCUCCCGACAGUAGCAUGCCAGAUGACCUUGGGCAUGUCACACUGCCAUCUGUUCCCUCUGUCUGGCCUGUCAACAUACCUCUAACUCCAGUUAAAACAUGACAUUCCAGCUUCUUUACACACCGAGGGGCAGCCGUCGUCACCCCGAGUGAGCAAGAUAGAGAGACACAUACAGAGAAAGAAGAGAGGAGAGAGGGCGGGAGUGACGGAGAAUCCGUAGAGACAUCAUAAGACGUGGGGAGGGAGGGAGGGAAGGAGAGAGAGAGAGAUAUAGUAGGCAGAAGAAAAGAGUGACCUUUUCUCCAACAGCCCGUCUUUAUGAGCUGAUAUUGUUAUCAAUGUAUUACUCCCUGGAUGGCCACUACAGCUACAAUAACGCCAUUGAACCGACAGUCCAUCAUCAUAGGACAAAGAGGGGCGCUAACACUGACAUCCUAUGGGGCAUUGGGUUGCAACUGAUUGCACUCGUAAAUGAGCGUGGCUCUCAUAAAAUCAUGUGGUAACUGCUUAGCGGUGCACAGGGUGAUGGCUUUUGUUAUCAACAGCUCGAGUGGCGCUCGCAGGUUGCCUGUUUGUUGUAGCAUCAGACUUGCCGGGUCGUGAUUUCAGAUGUGGAGCUAAUCAUGCAUCAAGUGAAAUGUGUUAGCACAACACCAAAAGCAGCAGUGGAAUUAUUUUUCCAAUUUUUGUUGGCUUUUUUUUUUUUUUCACAAUUUAAUCUAGUAUUGGAAUUAUCUAAAAGCAUUUACAUUUUUCUCUCUUGUUCCUUUUUUCCUGUCGUCACUUGGAUAAGGUUUCUAAAAGAGUAGGCAGUGAAAGACUUAUUCCGGCAGCUGGAAAAAUCAGAGCGCUGAUGGGUUUCGAUCUUAGCGAGGAAGAAGGCUCCCAAGGCGGCAGAACACAUAACUAUCCCUGGAUACAUGCUUUUUAUAUGUGGCACUAAAUACUCAUUAAUUCCUAAUGACAUGAGCUGGAUGUUAGCUUGGCAGAAUCAUGAGGUUGCAGACAUGAAACGAUGUUUAGCAAAAUUAUAAAUAAACAAAAAUAAAUAUGAAAGAGUAGGAUGAUUUUCCACAUCCCUUAAUACAGCUGCAGCAUAUAAGUAGAGUUUUCAAAAAAGGGCAAAAAAGUGGGACAUGUCGACGCUCAAACUGAGUUUCCCUUCUUCCAGAGGUAUUAAAAACCGUCUCCAAUAGGUUUUUAAAUUCAUUACACUUAUCACUGUAGGACCACCAAUUACUUUCCCAUUUUAAUAAGCGGAUUCAGGCUGUCUCCCUUUGCUCUUAUGCAACAUUUUAGGUUUGUUGACCCACAGUCAGAGUCACAUUUACCAAGAGACAGAGGGAUUUAGAUUCCUAUCAGGUUUGAUAUUGCUAAUGAGUAGUUGGAGCGAGCUGCACUAUCCAUUACCAUUGUGUUCACAGGUGUUAUUUUCACAAGGAGGGCUUUAAUGCAGCCUGCUAAGUAACCUAACUGCAAUGAAAAUGUGGUAUAUUUGGACUGCUACCUUUCUGUGGGAAAUCAAAGCUGACUGUACAGAGAGGGAGCAGAGAGAGAGAGAGAGGGAGAGAAAGUUGUAAACUGGGUCAAGAAGAAACCUUGCUGCAAAAUGAGCAAAUCUGUAAAAUAAUCCCUUCAACUGCAAGCUCACUACUUAAAACCACCACUGAGCUCUUAUUUGGUUUUCUCUUCCUCUCUUAAUGUAUUCUCUUCAGUUCCUGAGAAAGUUCAAUUUCUGCUGCCAAGUGAGGUGACAUGCCACACUGACACUAAAGAACAACUUCUACAAAAAGCAUGAAGGGACUGGGCCAAAAACCAGAGAGAUAAUGACACCUGUGAGCAUAUUCCCCGCCCUAUUCUGGAUGGAGUAAUUGCAUUUUAAGUUGCAGACUUGAAAGAAUUCAUUGUCUGUGGUUUCCACAUUUCCCCUCACGUAACCUCAUGCCCUACAAAACAACAGCAUACUUUCCCUGCAGCCCUUACGGGAUUAGGGGAGGUAAUUCUACAAAGACCAGGCCUUGCUCUCGCCUCCUCAUCCUUCGCUGACUGAUACGUAAGGGAAGUGGGACCCUGACCUACUCCUGACUCUGGGAAAUUGCUCUGACCUCUCUGCAUUUUUGGGAGGAAGCCAGACCUGGCACAUACGUGCCGGGGUGCUGGGGCAGCCUCCUCUGACCCCAAGGACCUUUAGCUGGCCGAAACCCUUUCGGCCAUUUAUUCACAUGAACACACACACACACACAGGUUGCUCCUGUUGGAUGGAUUGUGUUACCUCUUAGAUGUGAUGGCUGCCUCUGUUUUGCAUCCUCUCACCGUUUUCAUCCUGGGAGCCUCGUAUGCCCCAGUCAUUAACACCACUAGCCUCCCUGUUCUGGCAGCUGAAAGGUCUGCAUUCAUGAGAGCCGUCCUGGAAACCAGAUGUGCCCACGCUGUGAGAAUAUGUGUGUUUGUGUACAUGCUUAUAGGCAGUGGAUACAGCAAUAUACAGAGUGUUUUGGAGCUGCACAUCAGGCUGUGUGUGUGUCUGUGUGGGAGUGACUGAGGCCCACAGGACACUCAUGGUGCACAGGUCACCUCUAAAAAAAGGGGGAUCUGGGGUUUGAGGACCCCAGACACCUAAAGACAUAUCCAAACAUACUGGUGUAAUUGUGUGUAGUUUACUUUUUUUGAGUGUUCAGAACUCAUCUGAUAUGAAACCUCCCAAAUUCUUAGACUUCUUUUUAUAGACGCUUUUAUAUUUUAUGAGAUUUGCUUCCCAACAAAAACAACUACCAAAAAACAAAUAAGAAAACAACAUAUUGCUCCACUUUCCCAAGAGUCAUCCAGACUUGCAGAUAUUUUCAGUUUCAUUUGCCAACAAUUUUUCAGAUGUCAUGCGCUGAGAGAGCCACUAGAAAACAGUCCCUAAUGAAAACUGGGGCCAGCAGGGUCUGUGGAUUGCAUGAAGUAACCAGGCUAUUGUUUCCAGACAGACAUAUUGCUGAUGAGGCUUUCAAAUAUAAUAGCAUUUCAAUAGUGUGACGGCAGAAUCCCAAGCAGCAAAUAUCUAAAAACCACAGCAAAUCAAACCCAGACCUUCUCUACGUCGUGAAAGUUGGGGGAAAAUUCUUGUCAUUUCAGAAAACUAAACAUUUCUAUAUGAUUAUAUAUUGGGAAACAUUCAUGCGUACACUGUGAAUGAGUAUGAAUAUAAAAAUCCAACUCUGACAGUUUUCCUCCCAUCAUAAUUUUUUCUAUUCACCUCCACAGAAUCCGUAAUAUUUAUAAUUUUUAACCACUAUGAUUCCCCUAAAUUCAGUCUGUGGAAGAUCGCAGGGAAAUCUUCACCGCUUAAAUGUUAUACCUGGGAAAUACAGAUGAACAGAAGUUAUUAAACACACCAUAGGAUGCCAUGAAAUACAACUAUCGGCUUUAAUUAGGGAGCUUUAAUUCUCUUCUUUAAUUCACUUUUCCAAAACAUAUCUCGCAGUGAAGAUGCCAAAUGCUACCAAAGAGUCUCUGCCGCCCACUAAAACACAAUGCUACUGCCAGGGCUUCAACUAAAUGAAAAUACUGAAUAUGUUUCAGGGUCAAUCAUUUUCUUCCUGUGAGAGCCCCGCAAACACAGACAGAGCUGAAGUAGCAAUCCAUUUUGACUAAGUCACAAAGCCUGUCAUGUAAGACUGUAUAAAGCAGUGGGCCUAUUCCUCAUGUCAGUGGCUGCUCACUCAUGGUAAGGACAAAAGACAUUUUAUUCACAUUUAGAAGGACAUAAAAGGUCUGUAAUGGCAGCCAAACAGGAACUGCACCCAGAGUUACUCCAAAGGACCAUCUUUGUUUUUAAAUUUUAUUUUCCUUGAAGAUUUUCUGCAAUAUCACUUGAGUAAUUCUACUUUUCCAGUGCUUUUGGUAAUAUCAAGCCAAGGCAACUGGGAAGCCAUUUUCAGUGGAUGCGACACAAAAACAGUGCCUUUGGAUGGGGGAAUAGCAAGCCCCUUAGCCCAUUUGGGCCGGUACAGUCACAAAUAUAUUCCCUCUAUUCCAAUUUUCAUGACCACGGAAAUCCUUACGCAGGAGACAGCUUCAUUAUUAGCGCGCCUUGCACAGAGCUCAAUGGCAGGAUAUUGCAUAGAGAAGCAUAUAACAGCCGAGCAAUUUGAGUUGGGCAGCUGGGCAUGCAGGUAUUGUAAUUUUAAUUCCCUUCUCUAUUCCCACGCCCUGUACAGUGGGCUGUUGUUCCUUUCAAAGGAAUGUAGGUAACAUUUCUCUGAAAAGAGCUCUAUGUGCUGAAACUAUGAGGUGUACAGCAAGGCAGAAAAGCUUUUUUACUUAAAUUAUGGACCACUUGUAGCACAUUCGCUGUUUCCACUCCACAUUCAACUCAACAUUCAAAUUCAGGCUUAUCACAUGUGGACUUUGACAAUAAAGAGAAGAAAACACCUGCUGAGUGUUUCUUUUUUUGUCCCGGUUGAGUGCACAGUUGCAGAGAAAAAUAUUUUACCGGUACCUUUUAACCUUUUAAGAAGUUCAAAGCAAGCGUCACCUAAAACUGUAAGCUUUCUUCUUUAUCUUGAGUAUAUUUUAAUACACGAGAGCUUCAGCUUCCAUCCCCACAUUUGUGGAGUAAAAUGCCUCCCUGUUAUCCUCCAUCUAAAUGGCCAUUAGCUGGACUAACCUAAUUAGUGGAACAAGAUCUAACACAGCCUUCCAUUGUCCUUCCAUCACAGGAAACAGUAGAGGUUUGCUGCAUUCUGAUCAAAUGUAUGGUGAUUAAUGACCGCGCUCUCACUAUGUUGACAGGCUGUAACGGCUCAAAAUCUCGCCCCACACUGAUGCUACACAUAUUUGUCUGUAUAACUGACACUUGAAGGAAUAAAUUGGGCAAAAGCUCCAUCACCAACCUGGCUACCUAUACCCAAAUUUUCCCCAAAUGAACAACGGGGAGUGAGAUGCUGUCAGGACUGCGUUCCCUCCAUGACAUGCCAAUCUAUGCAUUGGGAAUAAUGACAGGGCUAAAAAUAUUAGACACUCGCCAGCAAAUUGCUUAAAGGUUUUUUUAAUUAUACGGAUGAGCUGUCGAGCAGUCAUGCUUGACAGAGUAUAGAAACAAAUGAUGUAAUGGCUGAAUGAGGAAGAGUUUGGUGGGCACAACCACAAGAAGCUCCUGACUGUCAGGGGCGAGUUUAUAAAAUCUUCAACAAACAAUAUUCUGUUGUAUAUAUUUGACCCAAAUACAAGGAAAAGAUUCAUUUUGUUUUUGCCUGUUCUUAGUAAAAGAAAGGAAAGGCCAAAAGUUCUGGCUGAGCUGUUCAAAUCGAAGGCAAGUGGGUGAAAUGGAUAAAAUGCACAGCAGGAAGCAUGUCUGUGUAUGUGGGUCAUUUUCUCGGCCUCAAGCAUGUUUUAUUUACAGUCCUCUCUACACACAACACUUGUGCACUGAUGCUAUAAUGCUGUGUAAGACAUUUUUGAUUCAGGAGCGAAAAACAUGAGCUCAUGGAGAUGACUUAAACAGCUUAAAUCAAUUAGAGAAAGAAACGCAGCGGUCGUAUCACAUCUUUCUUCAAGAUUACAGGUUGAUUUGCAUCAAGAUAUAAGGGAAACACAAACCCAAAUAGUAUAAAAGACUGAUGAUCUGUGCUACAGGAGAAAGAGCAGAUUUAAAACAAAUACAAUAAAAGGAAAUAUAUGAGAAUAGAAAAGACCACAGCAACGAAGUCAGACAGAGAGAAACAGGGGAAUAGAAGGAAGAGAGAGAGAGAGAAAGAGAGAGAGAGAGAGAGGCUCUCAGCCUGUGAGGUGCAUUUAAAUUAUCCCCAUUCGAAAAAAAUAGAAAGUUGGAAGCACUUAUCAAGCUAUAAAUCUCCAGCCCAGGAAUUAAAAAAAGUAAAAAAGAAAUAACAAACACCAAACGUCAUGCUGCUUUGAAUGUCUGCCGUCUUUCCCCCACACGGCAGGAGUUCAAAAGAAUAAUAACUUUGCCCUCACUCAUCACCACCCAGAGAAGCGUUAGGGCAGCUCGUAAUAUUGUUUUUUUCUUUCUUUUUUUUUUUAAUUAGUAACUCUAAUCUGAUCAUUAGGGGCAGCAGAAACCAGCACAGCUAUAGUACAACUGUGAGCAGGGCUAGUAAUUGAAGUGACAAAGGCGUCGUAGUUGGAAUAGUCACAUCUGUCUGACGACACUUUGAGCCAUUUCUACCAGAUUACGUGCUGUGACCAGAAGGCAAAGGGGACCUUAAUUGGGAAAUAUUGUGUGGGAGGGGAAAUAGAAGUGUGGCAAUGAUAGAGUGCAUGAAGAAAGUAAUCAGGAUUAACAUGUCAAGUUUUCUACGUUUGCUUUGGUUUGGCUGUAGGAGCAAAAUAUUCAGAAACAAAGGCUAAUAAUCUGGGCGUAGAGGUUAAAAGCCUCUGCCCCUCGACUUGUUGUGACAAAUCCAUCAUCCUCAGAAGUUCAGGGAAGCAACGGAAAAAUGAAAACUUAACAAAGACUCUAGCUAAAGGAGGUUAAGAGACUACGAGAGCAAUAGCCAGAAGGUUUGAGGAUGGAGACUGGAUGGAGGUAAAGCGGUGGAGUGGUACUGUAAGGCCCGCUGAUGGAGAACAGAUGGAAAGAGCAGGGGGUUGUGAUUAGCGCUACAUGGGGACCAGGUCUCUGUAGUGCUCAGUGUCUAGUAGUGGUUGGCCCUGAGGCGCCUUCCUCCGCUCUCAUUCCCCUCCCAUGGUACUACCGUCACUGGCCAGAGAAUCCCAGCAUGCUUGCUUGCUAUCCCAUCCACUCAGCGCUGCACAUGAAAAAAAAAAAAAAGACAAGAAAAAAAAAACAAGACCAUUUCUCAACAUUCUCGUUCUGGCAUAAACAAGACAUCCCGUUGGCAUGAAACUGUCCCUGGAGGAAUUACACGCUUGGUCUCAUCGUUUACAUCUCCUCCAUGCUGGAUGAGUCUAAAAUUUACUCGGAGAUUGGCUUUAUUAUGAUGCUGCACAUUUGUCACAUUAUUACCACAGAUUUUGCCUUUGUUUUGCAUUUAUCUUUUUAUUAUGAUUUUUUCCCCCUUUACACACCCAAUCCUGUGCUGAACUCCCCAGAUGCUUCAAUUCAACCAUCACUCAGCACAGCACAAUUUCAGCCAAAGCCUCAGUCGGACGAAUUAGGGUAACUCGAGCUGAGCCAGAUUGUAAUCAAAGCGAAAAUAAUGAGUGCAGGACAAAGGCCGGCACUAUUACUCUAGCUGGCUUAACAUUUCUCUCCCUUAGCUUUUUUCCUCUUUUCUCUCUCUCUCUCUCUCUCCUCUGUAAGAGUCCACAGAAAUACAAACAAACAGCAGAACAGAGGGGGGAAUAAAGCAGAAAGGAUAGGGCAGCUCAGGCUGGUUGUGAAGGCAUAAGACAGAGAGAGUGUGAGGGCUAAACAGAGAGAAGUAGAGAGCAGGGCAGUGGGCCUGUACUCGCCUCCACAGCCGGGGACUUGCAAAUGAACUAAUCACCUGAGGGGAUUCUUCUCAGCUUACUUAAACAACCAGUAAGUUAAACACACAUGCUUCACAGCCAUCGCUGUGUAGGGGUUUGUGCGGGUGCGUGUGUGUGUCUAUGUGUCCUCAUGGGUAUGUGAGCAUUUGUGACCUGCUGCCCAACUGACUGAGGCAAGCAGCAGGCCGUCAAAAUAAGAAGGCAUCUGUUCCAGACAUGCUGGCUGAGGCAGAGAGACAGUUAGUGAGACGAACUGGGAGCGAGGCCGGAGCCAGGGAUGAGAUCAGUGUACGGUGGCCCUCUUUGAGGUUUUCUGAUUGUCUUUCUUUGCAGUAAUACAGGGAAACUAAAUGAUAUGUGACUGCAAUUUGUAACGAAAACAUGGGGCCUCCUGCAAAUUAGGCAUGCUGCAGUACUUCCACCUCUUUGCUAUGCACAUUCAAGAGGCUCUUGGUUAUGGCAAGAAGAAAGAAAAUGAAAACAGGCUAAAGAGGAGCAAAAGGGGAGAAAAGUGAGGAAUUUUCUUUAUUUUCCUGUUGUGACUCUCUUUGAUUCAUGUUCCACCAAAUAUUUCAGACAUCACAGCUUUUGAGGAUGUUUUGAACUGCUGCUUUGUUGACUAGAUACACCGGGGGGAUUUCAGAAGUAAGUAAAAGGCUAAAAAGAGGAAGAACAAUUUAAGCGGCCAAAUGUUGCCACUGAAGCACUAUCAUUCAGGGAAAAAUGAAUAUCAUACACCAAUUCUGCUAUUUCAUCUGCACUGUAGUAUUUGUACAAAAGCUGGCCAAACAUCAAGUCUGGAUUCUUGCACUCCUUCCAUCCAGCCCUCUGGUCUCCUCUCAGAGCUACUGUCUGACAAUACUGUGAUACAGGCUCAGAGGCAGCUGCACGAGCAACAUAAGAAAUUCUGUAAAUUUCACACUCUGCUGCCUGCCAAAAAACCCUGGGCCCAGAUUCGGUGAUUUGGCCUCUCAAGUCUCUUUCCAAUCUUCCCCCUCGCAUGCCACCAGCAGAGGACCUUGUUCGUUCAGCAUCCCUGUUUUGGAUGCAGCUCUCAGAAUAAAAAAACAAAAAAAAAAACAUCUUGGAGUCACUGGCUACGGGGUCACUUCAAACAAGUCAGAACAUGCUCAGAUCUGUGGCGCUGUGCAAUUUGCAUCAUGUGCAGAGACGCCACGAGGAAACCAAUUACAAGACAUGAUGGAAGAGAAACUGAACAAAAAACAGGGGGAAAAAAAGACGUAAUCAAAGCAAACAAGAGCCAAUGUGAGGAAAACUUCUCCUGUUAGUACUUAGUAAAAAUGCUGUUAUACUAUUCAUGUGAAGGCCAGAUAGACUUGGAUUGUGGCGCAACACUACUCAAGCCCCUCUCUUAAUGACUUCAUGUACAGUACAGCAGAUGCAUGAUCGCUGCGUUUUUGUUUCUGUGUCUUAUUUCCUGCCAAGAAAAACACAGAACCUCCCCUUUAAUUCCAUCUGACCAGUGUUUACUUUAAAGAUGAGCUGUAGGUUACUGACACUAUCAAGGGAUUGUUAUGCAUUUUGAUGCUUUGAUGCCUAGAGGAGGCAGAGGGAAUUUAUUGAUGGGAAAUAGAGGUCCUGAGUCGGGCAAUUUAUAGGUCCUUCUUGGUCUUAUGUGGGAACAAAGAAGUUGAGUGAAUCACAUUAAACGUGUGCGUGUGUGGUGUGCAGAGUUUUCAGCAGGGAGAAAGUUUACAAAGCUUUGUGUCGAAUGCUCGGGGAUAAUACUCGCUGCACUGCAUCUAAAUUUAAUGUACAUGUGUAGUUUUUAAUGCAUAAAUAGAAUAAAAGAAUGAUUUUUUUGUGUCAGAAGUUCAUAGCUCUUUGCAAUUUGUAUCUGUCAAUUUAUGUAACCAGUGCGUUUUCUUUUUGUGCCGUCUCUUCCUCCACCGACCACUUGAGUGAAAUGAAAUACCAAUGUCUGCCAACCAAGCGUACAGAUUUUACGGUGCUUUUCUACAGCACAAGCAUUUUCCUUCCGUACAAUUUUCAAGCACAAGGAAACCACUAAACACGGCGUUCCACAAUUGAAUUACCUCUCUGUUUCCCAGUCAUUGGGGAGUUAAUAGCUGGUUACAUGUUGCUGUUACAUGUUAUGUGAAAUAUUUAUUGUGCAACUGGCUGCAUGGCAGCUUAAAAGUGCUUUAAACCUGGAGAGCCGCCAGACCGCAAGCACAGCACUGUAAAUUAAAGGUGAAUUAACCUAAAAAUAAUUUAGGAGUUUGAAAGGGAAAUAUGGAGAAGGAAAUCUGAGCUGCUUUAAAUUAUGUUGUAUUUUACAGAUACUGUAAAAAUAGAGAACAUGAAGCUAAAAAAGUUAUAAAACCACUGCUGCACACAGUUUUGCAACACUGCAUAGCACAUGAGCAUGAGUGUUUUUGUUGGUCAGUUCCUGGUUGCAUUUGGAUGAGGGAAGCGUCUUGUAAGGGCAGCCAGUGGGUUUCAAUCAGGAGCUGGGUUUGUUUUGCAGCAUCCCCGUAAUUAACUGAUUGAUAAUUUCUGGGUUGGUUUCCCUUAAUUACGGGGCUGAUUGUACAUGAAUGUGGUGAUCCAGUGAAUUGGAAGCAACUGACACAAUGUGGAACACCUCCUCCAGAUUUCUGCCAUGACUGGUCAACACACACACUCUGUUGCUGCUCCUCAAAUGGUGCUAAAAAAUUUCCCCCGCCUUGCCCCCCUUCAUCACACUUAUAUUACCCUGUUAGAGACGCAGAGUAAGCUGGAUUUUUUUUAAGCCUAACUUUAUAUAUAAAUAUUUAUGUUGAAGAUAUACUAUGCUUUUUUUCACAUUUUAUCAGUCUUUUGAUGAAGUAACAUUAUCCAGCGACAUGUGUGUGAGUAAGGUUCUGCAGAAAGAUAUUGUCAUUUGUAUAAAACCAUAAACAAUAAGCAGAAAGCUAAAAAAUAUCUCAAAGUCAAUCAUAAAACUCUCAUUUGUUACCCUGAAAAUCUCUUUGAAAGCACAAGCUGUGAUGGAGUGACACAGUUUCAGUGGGAGGAUCAUGCCUGCUGUCCAAGGCCAAGGGCUUUAAAAAGACAUUCGGCCUAGGUCACAUUCACAGUGCACAUAUUUAAGCCUGUUUAUUUAAGCCUCACUUUGCAUGAUUUGGAAGGAGAAUUUCUGUUUUUUUUACUCUGCACUUCGUUUGUUUGCCAAAUAGUAGCAUAAAAAUUUUACUUUUUCAAGUUACUUUUUUUGCGUCAUGUGAGAACAUUUCUUUUUUCAUUUCCAGAACUUUAUAUUAUAGUUUUAUUUUGUUUGAGUAGUAGCAGGUACCAAUGUAAUGCACAUAAAAAGUGGUCUGAGAUGGAAGGUUGUACAUGAGCUAGACAGAUGAUUGAAGAAGUCCAAAAGUGGCUCUGCUAUGUGGAGUAGUGCUCUGCAGCAGCUGCAAUCAAGGCCUUUAUGGUGGCCAUUACUCCCAGCUGAUGGGGGAAGCAGAACCUCCUCAUAAUGGCUGUCUGAGCAAGACAGUGAAACGUCCACAACCUCUAAACUAUCCAUGGCCCAGUUGCUCACCUUCCAGUGACAUCAACGACUUUACCACGAGGCAGGAAAAAUGAAAAUAAAGAUUGCGUUCAAUGCUCUUGUAUAAGUACUUUGUCUUAAUCCUCAAAAAAUGAGAAACAGUUGUAAGACAACUGUGUUUGUAAUAGCAGGUAAUAGUAAUAUCAAUUUCAGUGCUGGUGGUACCUCUGAGGUAUGGGGCUUCCUUUGUCUGGGGAUUGCUCUUUGGCAAAGGACCAAUAAGGUAAGCUUUGUGGGAUUUUCUCAUCUCUUUAUUUCAACAUCUCCUGCAGAGGUAGGAGGAAAAUCUUUCAGUAAACAGCGCUGAGAGGGAAACUCAAAUUCAGACCAGGACAGAGAAGCAUAUGUCUGCAAUUCAGCCUUAAGUCCAAAUGAAGUCACAGUAGAUGUUUGUUUACUGUUUCAUCAACAUUGCAGCAUGCUUUAGUAAUGCUGGCACCACUGCUGAGUGAUCACAUAAUUUGUUUGCAUGUGGAAGUGUUUUUCUGUGACUUUGUAGGAGGGAUUUUCUAAACAGCUCAUUGUUUUUUUCUGAAAUAUUGAGAUAAGAGCUGAGGGAAAUUUAUGACAACCUCUACUUGUAUAAUCUUUGAAGAUGAAAAGAUCAAGCCGAAAGAAGUAAGUCCCAAGAUUUAGUAUGACAGCGCAAAAAGGAAAAAAAAAAAACUCUGAGGUGAAAGAAAGCAUAAAAAUGCUUUCUCAGUGCACACAGCGAGGAAAAACACAUUCAUUGUAAAUCUGAAUCUUCUGGAGCUGCUGCCUUGAUCUAAAAAAAAAAAGAAAAAAAAAAAAAGAAAAAAACUUUCACUACCUUUCUAUUGUAUAAGAGCCCAUGGAGCCAUCCAUCACUAUUUUCCACAGUGCUUUACCACCCAAACUGCACGCUGAAAAAAUGCCGUGCAGCAUGGCAGAGGAUUUUUGGCCUCUGAAAACUGAACAGAGUGAGCUUCACUUAAGAUCUAUAACCAAAUUAUUCCCAGCCAGAUGGAAUAAAAAUUAUAGUUAUUGUUUUAUUGAUCCAAAAGAAAUUUAUCAAAAAUUAAAAAUGAUAUCUUGACCAAAUAUUUAAAAAUUAAAAUAAUAAUAAUGAUAAUAAAGACAAUAUGAAUGUACGUCUAAAAUGAGGCUUCCACGUUCUAUUAUAAAAUAUAAACUAAACUCACCUUUAUAUAAAAUCCAACCAACAGCAGAGACGUGUCGGUUUAAGAUUUUCGGAUUGAUUUUAAGAGGUCAAAGUUGAACAAAAUGGACAAGAUAUGGUUUGAAUGAUAAAAGAGAAUGAAUGAAGGAAAAAAAAACCCAACAAACCCCCGAAGAUCCCUUAAUUCUGUAUUCAUAACAUCAAAUCUGACCAAACCCUCAUAGGUUAAGUCUCGGUCAACAUGUUCUCCUUUCAGCGUUAACAGAAUCAACAGUAAAUUAUACAUGAGGAGCAAGCUUCUUCCUAACCCGUUAAAAAACAACCUAACCUGCAGGUCAGGCAGCAGACAGCACUAACAGAAUCUACCAUCGCACCUUUCCUCGUCGUGUCAACUGGGAUAAUAAGGGGCCCGGCUGGGGGCAUGACAUGAACACAUUCUGAUACUGCAGCGGAACAAAAGUGGGGCCACUGAGCGUCCCUGUCAAGUGCCAGAGAAUAGAAAUACAGUCAUUGAAUAGCCAUGCAGCCAAAUCCAACAGCACUGUGCCUCCAGACAAUAGGUGCGGUGCUAAUCCCUCUUCAUGUGGUCUGCAUCCCCUGUCAUGCCCAGCGGUGAACCAUGCUGAGAUGCUGCGUUGGCGACUGACACUUCGACAAAGGCGGCGUCCCGGGAAACUGUUGGGCCUGUGUGCUCUGCACUGCUGUGCAUGGAAUCUGCAUUGGGGGGAAUAAAAGAGAUGAGCAGUGUGUUUAACAAUAAGCUGCCUGGGUGCCGAGACCCCCGUAAAGAGACUCGGUGUGGCCACCCAUCAAAAGCUCUUGAGCCCAACACUUGAUGCUGGCAGACAGUCCAGCCCACGCCCACCCCCUAUGCCAUCCUUGGCUAUCAGUCCUGUGUCUGAGCUCGGUCUAGUCAGGCCUGCUUCUCUGUCCUCUGCUCUGCUCUGCUGGAUUUGACAGCUGUUACCGGGGAAGGUUAUUCACCCAGCGCAUCUCUCCAUACACACACAAUGACCCCACAGCCCCCGCCUGUCUAGCCAACCAGCUCUUAUGCUGGGCGACCAACAGACAAGGUGGAGAAAACGAGCUGACAAUGUCACUCCUCCGCCACUUGCAUUUCACGCUAGAUAUGCACCCGAAGACGGCUCUUUUCGCCCCCAAAAUAACUGAGUUGGCUGAAAUACAGUGACACCGUUUGUAGUUUUUUUCCUUUUGCACGUUCAAGGCAAGCUUGCAGAAAAUAGGUCAAACGCCACGCAGAUGUGGUUCAACUGAAAAUGGCUGCCAUGGAAGGCGUGUUUAUUGGAAUGGGGGGUUGCAGUAGCAUAAGGCGAGGAUGGGUGGCGCUCCUACUGUACAUAGGAAACAGCACAUCUACUCAUCAUAAUGUACAACCUCCUUCUUGAGGAUAAAGAAGUUGCUGAUUUCUCCCUUGAACUGAAUAAAUAGAAAUACACAACCCAGUACCUGAAGAUGUCUAUCUGAUAGACUUGGGGAGUUGCAUUACAGUUUAUGCAGAGAUCAUUUUAAGAAUAAAAGCAUGCAGGGUAAUUUUUUUUAAUUUUUAUAAAUGACAUUUGCACCAUUCAUCACUCUUCAGUAUUAACGGAGUUAAUUUCUUGUCAUAUUUGCAGCCUCUGAUUGCUUUUAGUGUCAAAAACCAACGCUACUACUCUCUGCAAUGCAUUGUAUCUCAAUUCUCCUACACUGUUUGUCUCGCAACACACUUGCAGUCAUGUGUCCUUCACAGGCUCUUUUAUAGCCUGAUAUUGCUUUUUUGUUGUUCACAGAUAAGCCUUGGGAUGUAUUUAUGUUACGGUACAGUCGUGGAUGUUCCUGUGUUGAGCUGAUGCACAGUACAGUUUACUAAUUGGAAAAUAAUGAGGGUAAUAAUGGCUAACCACUCAUUAAAAUUCAUCUGUUGAGCCUUUUUGGUUACAGCUCGGUAUUGAACAUGAGUAAAAAAAAAUAUGGGGAACAAUAUCAGGAUAUUAUCUAAUUAUAUAGACACACUUAAUUAAAUAUGUAAAAAAGCUGCUGUUGGUGUAUGACCUGAAUAUCCACAUUAAAAAUAAGCACUUAAUAAUUCCCUCUGCUGAGCAACAUUGUGUUUUUACUACGCUGGCUUCAUAAACAUUGGUGAAAAACAAUGUUAUAAACUAGAAAAACUCCUAAUGCAAUACAGAUAAUGUGCAGCGCACUAACUCUGUACAUUUAAUCUAUUCUUAUGAAACGGGUUGUUAUGGAUGACCUGAGAUUCUAAAUACUUAAUUAGUGUGUAAUCAAGCUUUCCACGGGCCUACUUUGUAACACAGCAAUGCAAACUUAAUAUAAACAAUAAAGGUUUUUUUUCUUUCUCGCUCCCUCUUGAAAUGUUGUAUCCUGGAAGUAAUUAUAUUUAUUUAUCCUCAUUUUUACCCUCUUCUUUUUUUUAUUGAUGUUAAAGAAAGCACAGCAAUAUCUGCUACGGUUCAUAAACAUUCACAGAACAGUAGAAUGAACAUAACAUCACAAACUCAAGUCUGCCCACUGUAUGUCAGCACACUAUUAGCAGCACACAUCCAAUUACAUUUAUGGUGGUAUGAACAACUGUGUUUAAAUAAAGCACUCACUAAUUAUAUUCACAGCUAGGACCAUUCUAGUUAUCACCAUCACUAUCAUCAUCUCCAUUACGGCCUUCAACACUGUUACUGUCCAGACUGUUACUUCUCUGAAGAGCAUCAUUACCACAUUCAGUGUCUUCAAGCUCGCUCAGCUGAGAAACGCCAGAAAGCCAGCUCAUAAUGCAGCGCUCACGCACGCACUCAUGCUUGCGAACAUUUAAAAAACACACAUAGUUCCUCUCUUAUGUGGCAGGACCAGCUGCGCAGUGUACUCUCGGCAUCCAUCCCUGACGGCAAAGCUGCACUGUCAGUUUACCUUGCCCCAGGACAUCCAUGGGACAGCCUAUCAGCCGUCUCCCUUCUGCCAAAGACAUGUAGUCCUGUUUAUCACCUAAUUGACUCUCAGAGGAAGGCUGAGAUUGACAGUGUCGCUCCCACAUCACUUAAGUCCUUUUUAGCCAAGCAAACCCUGCCCGCCUUCACCUGUUAAUAAUACAUCGUGGCUGACUUACUUUUCUGAUAAGAGCCGCUGCACCUCGCACUUUAGUCAAACACAGCCGAGAGGAGAGUCGUUAGAAGCCAAUCACGUCCCCUCAUUUGAGGAGAUGACUUUCACUGUCACUUUUUUUUCCAGUUCUGUCUCAUAUCUUCAAUCAGAAGACACUGAAAGGGUUGAGUUUUGGAGAGGCAAGAGGGAGCAACACUUCCUGCCAAACCAAAACAAGCCCAGGAUUAUACUUGUUUCAUAUUCCCCCCAGUUGUGUUCAAAUGAAGCAGUGCUCAUUUUGUCCAGUGUGGCAGCACAAUUAGGAGGGCUGCUGCCAGCAAUUGACAGAAGUGUUGAGAUAACAUAUAUUGAGGAGCGUAUUUAUUAUGCAUUGAUGGAUAGGAAGACAGACUGGAGUUUUUAUAACAACUCUAAACAGAAACGACAGGAUUGAUUGAGACUAAUUGACAGCACGAGAAAGUAGUGGUGAGAAAAUAUCCGGGUUGAUGUGUGUAAUUUUUUUCCUGCCCUGCCACUUACUUGUCAUUACCUGACAGGAAGCAACUUUCCAUUUUGGCGAUACAUGCUGUGCAUUUGACACCUUUCUGAAAGCCCAGCCUGCCUCUUGUGAUGGCAGAGGAUGGGGUAAAAAGGGCAUCGGGUGGGAGUGCGAGCCAAGAUGGCCCUUGUCCUCGUCUGUCGGAGAUUAUUUUGUGGGUCGCGACUGGCGUGCUGGCAGUUUGUCAUGCGCCACUUGCUGUGAUGUCACUGAGGCCACCCUUGCAGAACUUUAGCCAGCUGGGUGCCGUCACAGAGCCUCAUCACGUCUCAACUAAGCAGUCCAUGACUUUUUUAACACCCUGCCGGGGCAGAGUUAUUAAUAGAGCUGUAUAGUUACAUGAUCACAGAGGAUAUUGAAAAAAUAGUUGCAUUUGAGACUCUGCUCAGAACAGGUAAACAAAUUACACCAGGCGCUCAGAUAAAACUGCUCGCUGUCAGGAUGAGACAGAAAGGGAGGAAAGUUGGCGUAUAAUCAAGGUUGUAAUGAAUAAGUACGUUCCACACAUGCACAAGAGUGAAUCACCUCCCUUUUAUCGCUUGUUUGAUAACACCGUACUCUUUGUCUUGGCUCCCAAGGGUCUUGGGUUGUCUUCCAAGUUUGCAACAAGCCUGCUUCUGUCCUCUGUUGUAAUUCAUUCAGUACCACUAAAGCACAUCAAAGUCUCUCUCUCUCUUUCCUAUGAUACUUGUGUUUGUCAGUGGCUGACAAAAAAAAAAAAUGGGGCUUUUCAUCUUGGAAUUAUUGUCAGGGCUGAGACGCUUUGUAGGAGCUGUUCUCACAUGUCUGCAGCCUGGUGAACAUAUAGCUCUGAUCUCCAGCAUGCAUCCUCAUAAUGGAGGAAAUCUGCAGAAUAUGAAAACUAUCAAGACUCAGAGAUGUAACUGUCAGGGUGCCACAGGGCGUUAUAAAAUCUUUUAGCCAGUUUGUUUGAGCUGUGCUUUACUUCAAACAUACACAGAGAAAGAGGACUCACCUGGGGAGAAAAAAGGUUGUCUGCAGCUGAGACAAUCUGAUUUUCAGCCGCUUCUAUUAUCUUCUUAAGCUAUCGCUUAUUGAGGAUAUCCUACUCACUGCCCAAAGUCCUUCAGCUCAUUAUGCACUAAUGAUCUGUCUGCUUUUUCAAAGUGUCCCCUUUGAUAGCACAAGUACAGACGCAAACUUCUUCACAGAGCACACAGUUCAAGAGCAGAAGAGUAACUUUUCACCUGUGACAAAGAGCUGCUUUCUCAGUGGGCAGGAGAGCAGGAAUGAAACUAAAGAACAGUCUUUAAAAUACCUUCAAAGGAACCAAAAGAAGUGCUCUUAUGAGGUAAAAUAUGUAAAUGUAACCUGCUGCAUCACUUAUUUCAACACACACACACACCCACACACACUCACACUCACACUCACACACAAAUACAGUUGAAGAAAAUAAGCAGCCUGACCUUGUGCAAUUUCUUCCCCUUACCUCCUCUGCAGCUCACUCUUCUCUGGUAAGUUAUGAUUAUGGCACAGUGAAAAUUUCCUUCUGACACUUCAGUGUGAGUGUGUGUGUAUCUGUGUGUGUGUUGGCAGUGUGGAGGUGUGAGUGUCCGUUGGAAAGGGGAGGGGGUAAUCUCAUUCUCCUUUUCAAUCUAGUAAUUAACUUGACAGCAUGACGAAUGGACACGAUCAGCUGUCUGCCUCCAUAGGACACAAAUAUGGCGUAUUACACGCUUCUAUGUGGGAUUCCACCCGGCAAAAAAGACAUUAGAGAAUAGCUACUCAAAUGGAAUCAAGUUGAGUCGAGUUUCGUAUGAUAUUCAGUGUAUCAUGUGUGUUUGGAAAAGCAGCACAGAAAUAGGGAUGGUGCGAGUGAGCAAGGGUCGUGUAAAAACAUGCACAUGCACACUCUGAGGCCGAUGUUCCUGUUUAUUUGAAAGCAGCUCUCUCUUUUUUACUCCCACCAUGGCUCCCCCACAGUCUGCCCCCUGUUAGGCCCUAAUGGCAUAGAGGAGUCGACUUGUCUAAGUAGGGCCUACUGUAUAUCACUGCACUGUCUCUCCUCAUAUCAGUCCCCCCCCCACCCCUUCCCUCUACUCACCCUCCACCCCUGCUGCCAUUAAUCUAUCUCUCCAUCCCUCUAUCUUGAAUACCUGAUUUGGCUGAGAGCUUUGCACUUCACUGCACCGCUGCCUGUUCCUGAGACUUAGUGCAUGCAGUUCACAGUGCACCAACUUAAAAACACAUACGCAUUAUUGGAGACUUAUCCAAUUAUGCACACACACACCCGCAAAAACGCACACAAGAAGGCGCUCUAAAAGCAUGGACUGACCUGCGGUGGCCUUCUGUAUAAUAGCAAAUGCGAUGUGUCUCACUGCUACCUCAUUUUGUGGCUCUGUAGGUCCCCGGUUGCAGAGUCACCUGUAUAGGGUGUCACAAUAAAGCAGACAUGAAAACGUCAGGUAUCCAAUUUAAUUUGUGCAGCUCUACAUCAAAAUGAUACCACAUCAUAGCAUACAGAGACAGUAUCUCUUGAUAAUGUAAUGCAUCAGAUGUAAUCUUGAAAGGAUAUUUUUUUGGGGAGCGUUAGAACAAAAUAAAUAUACAAAAUAAUCCCUUCCUGGCAAAGCAACCAGGCGUGCUCUGGUUACUGAUAUUUACACAGUACAAAAUAAUAACAAUGCUAAUGUCAAUAGAAACACAAUAAUGUCCCAAUCUGAUUAUGGAGCUUGUGUGUAUGGCGAGUAGAAAAUUAAAUUUGAAAUUUGAGAACUUGCCUCUGUCUGUAAUGUAUUACCGUGGAGGGGGUGGGAAUGGGGGGAUAUGGGGGUGGAGGUGGAGGUGGGGGCAGAAUUUAAUAAACCCGCCAAAAAUUUUUAAAAUGCAUAUUGGCCUGAGAUAAGGUGGAGACUGUCGUUUUUUCUAAAGUAAUUAUGAGGUUUUAUUCAUUUCUGUCAUUAGUCAAACUGACAGCUGGUCCCUGCAGGCUGGAUACGUCCCAUUCUCCUGUGCUGCACACCUAUCUGGGAAGGAACCCUGUAAUGAAUGUUUACAACACACAGGUAACAGAGUAAAUAUUGGACUCAUCAAUUACACAGGCUGAGGGAGCUGGCAAUCAAAUCCCAUGAUUAUUGUUACCGUUGGGGGCAACAUGAGCCCUGACAGCAGGCCGGUGGUCACAUACGACCCACAGUGCAAGAAACACAUCCACGCAUAGAUGCUGGAGGAUAGAUAUAGAUUACAGAAAAACACACACAGCACCCUCUCACCUUGUCAUUUUGUGGAGCUGUCUCACCCGUACCAGAUAGGGCAGAAAGGAGCUUGUUAACAUUGUGUUAGGGGGGAGGAAUGGGAGAGAGAUAAUGGGAGAGGGAAAACAACGAAAAUGGAGAGAAAAUACAUUUAAAUGAUACUGUUAUCAACAAGGGCAAGUUGCUCUAAAAGUAAAGGUGGGUAAAAAUUUAUAUGGUUUACAUUUCCAAAAAAAAAAAAAAAGGGGUAUAAAUAUUUAUUACCUCCGCUGUGCCUGGGUUAGCCAUGAUUACUUUCAAAGUAAAUGACAAACAAGGGGCUUUGGUUCUUCCGUCGGUGUAGCCUAAGCAAUCAAAAUUGCUUGUGUUGCUAAAGCUACUGAUUCGGAAGUGUGUCAAAAGUGUCGCUUUAUGCCUCAUAAUAGUCUACAGAGACUUCAUUUGUGGGGUGUUUAAAGAAACUGUGUGUCUUUCCAUAGUGACUUGGAUCCCCUCUCUCUCUAACUUUGUGCUGAUGUCUGUGCCUAUCAUGUUUUGACAGCACCUCUCUCCCACUAUUCCACAUUUUGGACAGCAGGACCCUCGACUCGGAGACGAUAAACUGACACCAUCUCCCAAUUUUACCCCAAAACUCCCUCAUUACAGCAAAGGAUUGCUGAUGGGGCUUUGGAAGCAACCGUUGGUUCAGACAAGGUGGGGGUGCCUGUACAAGCUCUACACUGUCUCCGCAGCUUUUUUUUUUUUUUUUCCUUUUUUUUCCUUGGUCAAUUAAAAUGUUCCAGCAUGAGCAAGACCUGCAGGUGCUCACAGACUCUGAUAGCGAUGUUGUUUGUACUUUUGUGGUUUUGGUUUGUUUUUGUGCUCUGCAACCUAAAUGAACAUCUCUUGCAGUUGGCAUUUUGCAGGCUAAGUGUCCCCCAGCAUCUGUUUUUGCCUCUGAAGAAAGCUAAAGGGGGGUUUGGAGCAAAGCAGGUGUCUUAAAUAAACCUUAUUACUAAGUUUCUCCUGUUUAAGCAUCGAUUAGAUUACUGCGACUGUGCUCUCACACAGCUGAAUACGAGGGAGGGGUCAUUAACAUGUAAUUACACAUACCCAAGUAGUCGCAUACAUACACAAACACAGAGAAACUACAUCACUGGCAGCACCACAGCACUUCAGCAUGUGCUCAAAGUCUCCCUCCCACAGGGACCAAUCUAUGUUUUUAUGUUGAACACCUGUUAGCUACUGCAUGCAAUGCAAAGUCUAAGUGGUACACUUGAACCAGGCAAAGUACUAAAAUUACACAAUUGCUUCAGGUCACUGUAUCAGAAAAAUAGUAUUGACCACAAGAUACUCAUCCCGAAAAGUUGGCUGUUAUGGUCAAAUUUGUGAAUUAACUGGAGGCACCCCGUGAAUAGCUAUAAUGACUCCAUAUUAGAAUAGUGGUACAGCUGUGCUUCAGCCAUUGAGUUUGCUAUGCUGCCAAGGGCUGAGAGCGCACACGCCUGCACACACUCGCACACAUGCAUGCAUAGCAAGCUAAUAAAUUGCCCUGACACACCCUUUGGCGGCAGCAGCACAACCCACCACAACCACAUCCCCCUCGCCCACAACCAGUCUGACUCCUAAUUUAGCUGGGUUUCACAGUGAGACAUGGACUCUCCCAUGCACACUCAAUUUCCAAGGCAGGAAGCAAGGGGCUGGGAAGUGAAGGUGGAUGUCAUACAGAGGCGUUUCAAUAAACUGGAAGUUGGAUUAAACUUUUUGCACUUUCAGAGAGAUUAUUUUUCUUGAACUACUGAGAGGCUCAGAGAGUGGCUGGAGGAUGUCUCACGCAAAGAUGGGCACACACGGACUGGACACAGUGGGGACUAAAAGCAUGUAAUUAUCAGUACAGACUUGAUAUCUGUUUUCAAGUGAUGGUUCAACCUGCCUUCUAUAAAGGCAAGAGCACUGCUUAUUUCAACAUUUAGUGUUUAGCAAUUGGUAAGUAUUAGUUGUGAAAUACCACUGUCAGUCCAAGUACAACCACUGACAGGAAAAUGUUGCGUUUCAAGGUAAUAAUAAAGGGAAGUAUUUACAAAUGUGCUCACCUGACAUGGUAUGCAUUCAAAUCAAACAGCCAGGAGAGAUGCUCCUUGUUGUCCACAUAUGUCCGUGUCGACUUACGCUAUUCCACACAGUCUAUUACAGGAGAAUAUUUUGUGCAUGUGCUACAUUUCACACACUGUGUCCUAAUUUUUGUAACCUCCACCUUUUUUUUAAUUAAAAACAACAGAAAAAACAGAGAAGAGGCUGUCCCUAGCUAAAAAAAUCUGCAUCUCAUGGUUGCACAUGCAUGUGUGAAAUACAAACACACAGAAGACCAUAGGCACAUGCACAUCAGCUUUCUGUGUGCAAGGCUGCAGUUGUCCACGCUGAGAUAUUUGUACGAUCAAAGCUCAGCAGUGUUACUUAUAGCUCUCCUGACCUCUGAAAAGAAAUCCAUAUUAUUUUGCAAUUCUUUGUAAUCUUGAUGCAAUGUUUAAUACAGAUGGAGAUUUGGGCACACACUCUUGGGCAGAUUGUCCCCAAAGGAAUUCAUUGUAUUGCACUCAGUUGUACAGACCAAAAGUGAUGAAAGAAUCUAGUAGAUGAAUGAAAAGCAGAGUAUGAGUUCAAUCUCAGCCUUACUUCUGAUAUCUCUCUGCACCUCACCUUAAAUUGGGCAUGACUGUGUUUUUCCUCGUGUUGGAAAGUUACAAUACUUAUUGGACUGAGGAGAUUAAUAAGAGACUCUGGGAAGCUAUGAAUCUACAAAAGAAUUUAGGAAAGGGGCCUUUUUUAAAAAAAACAUAUUUUUGGGAGUUUGGUCAAGCGGCUGACUAUUAAGGCAUACCUUACAUUAUUACCUGCAAAUGUGGACGUUUACCAAUUAAUGCUGCGUUCCAGUUACCUCAGAAGUUGGAUGUUGGAGCUGGGAAUGACACUACACCAGAGUUGACGGCGUUCCAGUUAACAAGUCAAAAAAACACGAUGGAUUCUAAGUUGUUGUUAGCCAUUCUCAGCUGUAGUUAGUUGUUGUUGUUAGCGAUACCGGUUGUAAAUAACGCAUAACACAGUAUUUGACUCUACCAAACACCAUAGCACCGUGUUCACAGUUAGACGUUGGGCAGUACAACAUAUACCACUUGUUUAAUUACACAAAAAAACAAAACAGAAGUGCUAAUGAAUAAGACAUUACAAGAGCUUUAACAGUUACACUUUACUGUUGAUGCACUGUGCUGCCACCUUCGAUAAUGACAUUGUUGUCAAGUCGGGGUAGGUGAGGAUCUUCCGAAUUUCCUGAGUCGGAGAUCCAACUUCAGGGGGGCGUUCCAGAUUAAUUUCCGACUCAGAGCUCGGAAACUCUGACUUCUGAGUACAACUGGAACACAGCAUAAGACCAUCUCCUUUAUUCGUACUCAAAGUGUCUUCAUUUUGACCUACAUUUUCUUGUAAAACGUUCUUAUUUAAAUGUAGUAUAGCAAUCCUUUCAAUAAAUUGCUACACAAUUAUGGGGAUAUGGGGAUACAUAAGGAAAUGAAAUAAAGCUGUAAUUGCUUGUUAAAAGUAUGUAAGUCUCAGAUGUAACAUUAGCAUCAGUGCUACGUACUGCACAAAAAUUGUACACAUCUGUUGUCACUGACUCUGCAUCUCUGGUGUUGUCAGGUGUCAUUAGAGCACAGCUGGCCAGAGCGGUGAAGGGUAUGUGAGGGGAUGUAAAACUGAAGUGAAACUGGUGAGGUGUCAGGCAACUCGGCGUGAAGUGAGAGUCAUAUCUUAUUUUUCUUUGGCAGUCCUUUCUUUCCCUCUUUCCUCCACAUACACUCACACACUUCCUUGUUUAGUGUGGAAAGUUUUGGUGACUGUGCUCAGGGGGACAUUUACACUAAUUUGUAAAUGGCCCGGGUGCAGCUGUUUGAGUCUGAAAGAGUUAAGCAAGAAAGGAGGUCAGGAAAUCAGCCCUCAUUUUUCAGCAUUGACAGUCUCCGUCAGGCAGCGUGAAGGAUGUCUCGUGAGACUUCAGUUUUGACAGACUCAUUAGAAAGCGCACACACAACACUUGUCGAUAUGUAACAUUUAUAUUCUUUUACCACAGACGGCCAUGAUGUCAAUGAGGACUUCUAAGCAUCGUGCCAAAUGUCAAGUGAUAGGCCAGAGUUAAGGGGUAUUUGAGGGCUGGGACUGCCUUUAUAAAUCGAACAGACUUAUACAUGUGUCCGAACAGACACACCAACACGUAUAGAUUUUGUUCCUUUUCUUAAUAUAUUUCUAUGACAGCUGCGUAAGUAACACCACCAGGAGCGUGGACGCCACGAUGAGAGCCAGACCUCAUGGGCACCAUCAUGUCUAAUAAGUUUAUCAUUAAUUGCAGCCUUUGGGGACGUUUGUUCUUGAAUUAAUUAGUCUUUAACAACUCAGGGCUCAGCCAGUUUGAGGGAAUACAACUCACUUAGCAAAGCAUGAUGGCCUGUCUCUUAUUUUAUACUGUUUCUUUACUUUCCAUCAAUCUUCUAAAGCAGCUCAAAUAUAGAGUUUAGUUUUUCAUGGCUGAAAUUGACAGAAACAGACUAAUGAAUAAAGUAAAUUAUAGUGGGGAAUGUACACAUGAAUGGAUUCCUUUUGGAAAUAGUUGCCAUCUGUCCAUUUUUCUAAAAUAUUUAUCACAUGCUCUUGCUUAAUGUUUUGAUAGGACAUUUUAAAGUCUUCUAUAAUUCUCAGCAGACAGUCUGCCAUAGAAUUAAGUCCGAACCUGUUUAAUGUUAUAUAUAUAUAUAUAACAGUAAAGCAGCCUGAGAUAAAGGCUCUACUGUAAUUGGAAAUACUAAUUAAUUUAUAUUCAUAACAGUAAUAUAGGCCAACGUGCAAACUGACUCAAUUUUAAAAUCAUCCUCAAAUUAAUGAUGAACUUGCUUGUAUCAUUAGCUGGGUGUGAAACAAGAUACUAUAAAGUUCACCCAAGUGGGUCAUUUUGCUAAAUUGAACCUUGACAUGGUCAGGUGACCCUAAUACAACACAUUGAAGGACCUGGAUCAACUUGGAGUGGUUCUAUUCAGUAACCUUCUUACAUUAACCCUUGCACUGGAAACCUCUUACCACUGUUUAUUUUCUUAUGCCUACCCAUGAAGCUUCAGUGUCUGUAGACGUAACUGGGAAUAGAAGAAGCCAUGGAAAAAGCAGUCUCAAAACAGUGCAAUUUUUUUGUACUUAAGUACCCGUUUAAGAUUAAUUUGUCAGGGGCUUUUACUUGUUUUUUUUUAAGCUGGCUUAUGUUGUUUUGCUUGGAAAAACAGCAGCUGCUGUAGGCCCCAUGUAAGAGUGUCAAGUGACACUGUGAAAAGUGAGGCUAACCAGAGACCUUUUGUAGCAAGAUAGCUGACAGCUUGUGAUAUUAUUUUUGUUAGGAUUUGACACAACGCUAAGUACUCUCUGAGACCCUUGGGGUCCCAGGGUAAAGUUUCUAGCACUGGGCAGAAAGAGAAACUUGAGACAGUUUCUGUCAGAGACACUUGAUUGUAUUUCCCAAACAUUUUUGCACCUACGGACACAAAAGUACAGAGGAUGUUUUAAUGUAUUUAAUUUACUUUAUUUAUUUCUUUUAAUUUGUUUGAAGUGAUAAGUUAAGAAAAUACAAACAACUAAAUAAAUUAACAGAGCCCAUCAAAGCAGAUAUUUUAUUUUGUCCAGUUAGGUGAACUAUUGGUGUGAGAAUACAGUUACAUCUACUCUAUAUUUUGACUCUAUUUGUGAGUAAAAAGAAACAGUUUUUAUAAUGGGAGCUUGGCAUUUGCCCAAGAGUUGGUGCAGAAAGAAUAAGCAACAUGUAUGGCUGUGUUCAACAAAGAGAAACUGAAACAUGUAAAAAUAACUCUGCCAGAAACAAGAAGUUCAAGGGGAGAAUAAUAAUGGUGGAAAAGAUGGAAAGUCAAGCAAGUCAUAUGUGAAAAGUUUCCUUCCUCACCUCUAUUCGGCACAACCACUUGGGGCGAUCACCUGCUGAAUUCAUGCUCGGUCAACUUUGGAUCAGCAGUCACGUCCGUCCUUUAAAAAACAGCAAGCCAAACAUGGCUAUCAGCUUUCCUUCAGCUGCUGUCUAUCAAUGUCAUACUGGAUCAACAAUGCAGAACCCUUCCUGACUCUCUGCUCCCCUGCUGCACAACUGCAACCCCUCCACCUCUACACACACAUGCUCAUAGUAUCGUCAAGGGCAGGUUGUGAACUCAGGUGCAGUGUAGUUGACUUAUUUAUUUAUUUGUGUAACAGGCUGGGAGAUCAAUAAGGGUAUUCUGCUGCGAAAUAAGGUUGGACUGUCAAGAGACAGAUUAGGGCUGACGCAGCUUGGCGCCGCUCAGCUAUCCCUUCUCACUUGGCUUGUUGUGGGCGCACAAUUGAUCAUGCACAACACACAACCACAUUCUUAUAGGGAUUUACAACAAACUCAAAGAAAAUCACAGUGUAUAUCUGCUCAAUGCCAUCCAUUGUGAUUACAAAUUUAUGCGUAGAGAUGACUGACAAACAACUUUCAGUUAUAAACAGGAUUAUCUGUGAAAAAUAUCAUUAAAUACAACAGCCUUGGAACAAACCCUGAAGAGUACUUAAAGAGAUUUCACUCAUGGCAGGAUUUUCAAGAUUUAUCAACGCAGAUAUGACAAACACAAAUUUCUUGAUACCCCAGGAUAAGGUAUACUUAAAUACUUAAGAGAAACAGAAUUCUGAAGAGUUCUGUGCUUUCACAACUGUGACUCCCUCUCUACACGAAAAAUCCAGACACACAUUUUCUUCCUUGUCUUGAUACAAAAAUGCACUUUGUUUCUGACCUUGACCCUUCUGUUUUGUAAGCUUGAAAUGAUAGCGGAAUGCAAAAAGAAAAUAAUUAAGAUAGCUAAAUCCAUUAAUUUGCACUUUGAUGCAUGCAUGUUAUAUGUGGGCACAAAAGUCUAGGCAAGGAUAUUUGCGCCAAAGGAUUUUUUAAAUGGUAUGUAACUGUGAGCGCAGUGAUGUCAAUAAUCAAACAUGAUUUGGUCAGGUUGUUUUCUUGCAAUAUCUUCACAACAGUAAGUUGUUUAAUAUUCCAGUUAUUCCUCAAAAAACUUGUCUAACUUUUACACAUUUCAAGAAGCAGCAGUUCAUGUGUCAUAUGUGAUAUGCUCUGUGUGUUUCACUCCUAUUAUUGAUGUUUGUUUUUGUUUUUAUAUAUUGACACCAACCUGUGAAUGGGACUGAGGAUGGAAAUUAGCCACCUGGCUAAUCCUAUGCCUUUACAUGUAAAUGUUCCUUAACCCUGAUGCAUAUUGUAUUUAAAAAGAUUUGAAAAGAAAGAAAAAUCCUUAAUCCUAAAUCCUAACCACAAACUUCCAUAACUUGGUCAAAAUGACCCACAUUCAUCUGCAAUAGCUGGAAAAUUAGUAUGGUAACGUAGGCUAUAGUUUGCAGCUGGUUAUGCAAAACAGAGUAAAGACACCUUUGUGAGGCGGAUGUUUGAUCAAAAAGGGGAUUUAGAUUUGUAACUUCAGGUAUAAGAAAAACAUGUGCCCCCCUCUUGGAUACUAAAAAGUCAAUUUAUUCUUGAUGCCAUGGGAACCCAAACACUUAUAUCAACGUUUAAAUUGACAGCUGAGAAUAAAGGGGCCAUCACCAUGACUCCAUGCCCCCCUUGCUCUCCCAUUGUGCACAAACACCUUUCAGUUUUGCUCAGAGCGCAACUCCUGUAAAAUAUGAGCCCUAUCAUCACUGAGGACGACAGGCCAAUAUGUUGGACGCCACUCUCACUGGAGAGACGCAGCCUUGCCUCAACAACCUCAUAACAAUACUCUCCAAAAAACAGUGAAUUCUGAGGGGACGGCGUUUUAGAAGAGAGCUGACUCUCUUCAAAGCUCUUAUUACACUUUUACAUUAAAUCUCAGCUUGAGUGUCAGAUGAGUUUCCAGCCCUCUACUGACACAGAGAGACAUUGUGCAGAGAAGAAUGAGAGAGAGGGAGUGAGAGAGACUGCAUAAGUGUCAAAACAGAAGAAAAAAAAGUGAAAUAAAAGUGAAACUAGCAACUCUUUUUUUUCCUCUUUGCCAGCACAAUGGCACACUCCACCAUCUCUAUUAAAUGGGACUGUGCACAAGAGUUAUCCCUCCGGCCAUUCUGGGGUGAAGGCAUUCUGCCCGAGCCCUUUACUUUGACGGCAAAGGAACAGCAUGUUAUUUUACACUUAAUUGCAACUGUCAGCAGCUAACAUCAGUUGUGAAGGAACAGUAAUGUGACAUGACUACAAAAUAAACUCCUUCCUUCUCAUCCUUUAAAGGACAUCUGUAAGUCCCAUUACCAUACUGUAUGGUAAGCAGGGGAGCCUGACGAGCAGCUUGCAGAACGGUGCAGGUAGUGCCACCUUUGAAAAAGACAAACAAAAUAUAUUGCCUGCGCUGACGAGGGAUGUUAGUGUACAGAGGAGCAUGUGUAGUAGUUAAUGGUAUGUCACUGAUGGGGAGGAGAGGUCAGACCAAACAACUGCAGAGGGAAGCUUACACCAUCACAGAACCCCCGACCCCCCACAACAAAGCCUGGUGUAUAUCAUCAUUUUAGAGAGUGUAGAAUAAUUCACUGGUGGCCACAAUGCCCAUAGCUGGGGCUGGUCAAAAGAGAAAAAAAAAGAGCCUUGGUGUAUCCAUAAAUAAAACCUGCUAGCUAUUCUUUUUUCUCUCCUUUCAUCAGCUACCAUGUUUUGCACAUCUUGCCUUUGAAAGUGAGUUAGACUGAGGUAAAAAGAUGAAUAAAGCAGUGUGUGGACCCAGCAUUAUUCCCUCUGCUACUACAUCAUUAACUACCAGAACAGCAAACAGAGGAUGAACUGAAGUCAUUUCCACUGAAUACUGCAAACACAUCUGACAAAGGAGCUAAAUCAAAGGUUUGCAGAGUGGUUAAUGUAUCACAAUAUGAAAUCCACCCGUGCAUUAAGCAUUGUCCAAGACUAAUAUUCUUUUAGUUAGUGAGCCAUUGAGGGCGUCAGUCAUUCCCCCUACAGAGAGGGGAUCUGGUGGUCAUUGCAACUUUGUCCAGAACAAUGGACCUUUCUUUUGCUCUGACUUCCGAGAGACCCUUAUUUUACUUUUGCAGUAACCCCUGAAGAAAUUACUACUGGUGUCAUGUGUAAAGUCGGGGUUGAAGCCUUCGUUUGUCUGACUAAGCAUUUAACAAUGAGUGUCCAUCUGUGUGAUUUCACUCAUUAUCACAUUUGCAUUCACAGAGACGGCGAGAAUGUGCACAGAGAUCCUGAUGACCAUAAUACAGUGAGUGUGACUUUUGUCUUGUCAAGAUAGUAAAACUGUAUCUCACUAGAAAGGCCCACAAGUUCUCCUUCUAAACAGGAAGGCACCAGAAUCAGAGCAUCAAAUCUUACAAUACCUUUUGAAAAAUGUCUGUUUCUACUGCCAUGGCUUAGCUUUGAAAAUCACAGCCAACAUAAAACCUCACAUAUGAAAACAAGGUUUUCUGUUUGUGAUAGCAUUCCCUCUUUUGCAGCCCUUUCUUCACUGCAUCCCCCCUUUCAGUUUCUGUGUUGGUCUCUUUUGGAGAUUGGUAGUGGGUGGGUUUCAUGGUUUCUUUAGGGCAAACUGAGAGCACAUGGCUGGUAUAUUUUAAGACCAGGCUACAACACACUCUUUUUUGCGCUCCAGUCUCCUGGUACCAUGCUGUUCUUCCAUUGUCUCGAAAUAUCUGUCUUUAUAUUUUUUUAAUGGAAAACUCUUCACUCAUCAUCCAUUCAUCCCUGAGUUGACACCUUUAAAAGAUCACUGUAAACUCACUUCCUAGUUUGAAUUAAAUUUGUAAUUCUUGUAUCUUUUGUGAUUAUCAGUAAGAUUGUUGAGUUUAAAAAGAGUAUAUUUUCUUGUUUUUGUGAACCAAGCAAUGGCAGUAGGGCUGAGCAAUAUGGCCACAAACCAAUAUCAGGAUAUAUUGAGCAGUUCACCUCGAUUGCGAUAAAGGGAUGAUAACUACUCGACAAGCUGUUCCCCCCUCCCACAUUAACUUCGUCUACUUCAGCCACCACUCCAGCCACUACAACUUUUGAACCGUCCUCCAUCUCCUCACCCGUCUUUCCCUCUUUGUUACGGACUGGAUGGGAUGGGGUGGAGUAACAUCUCCGACGUAGGACAACAUCUUAAAUGAGACCAUAGCCUACCUACACACAUCCAAAACCAACCUUUAUCAAUAAUUUUUUAUUUUGACACCCAACAUAUUGACUUGGGCAAAAUGACGUUGGUCGUUUUCAUAAAUUUCAGUAUCUGUAAAUCUUCGGUUUAUCGCCCAGCCCUAAAUGACAGCAUUAAACAGCAGAAACCUCAGCUUUCACUUAUUCUAAUUUAACUAAAUCAAAAGGGUGUUAUUGUACUAGCAGAUAAAUCUAUCAUUGGUUUUCAAUCAUCAGUUUUCUUAAGUUCAAAAAACAAAAUCACACUUUCUUUACUUUGAUCUUGCAUUAUAUAUUCAAGGUACAAGAGUCCCUUUAUAUGUUGUGCUUCCUUGUAUCUGUUGGAGUUCAGUGUGCCAUCUACUUGAAUUAAAAAAAUAAAUAACCUGAGACAUAUGCGUCCUCUUGUCAUGCAAAGUCCACCAAGCAACAGCAUGACUUUGUAUGGAACAAACUGCAGAAACGCUAACCCAGAAUUUACAUGACAACAAAAACAAAGUUUUCAUUGUUAUGUAGGGCUGAAACGAUUACUCGAGUAACUCGAGUAACUCGAUUAAUAAAAUUCCUCGAGGCAAAUUAUAUGCCUCGAGGAAUCGUUUAAAUCCGGAACCAUGUGCAGCGCACGGUGUUUGACACGGACGGUUAUUUCUGUUGCGCAGAAGCGUGCUCUUUCCGCUCCUUCCGCUGCCGCGCGUUUGGUUCAAUCAUGGAGGGAAACGAGGACAGACAGAAGCUGUGUCCGAAAUGGCAUACUGCCUGCUAUCUACUUACCUACUCAAGCAGUAGCUACUGCCUACUGACUACUCAAAGAUGAUUUGAGUAUGCCGCGGCUGCCCGAGCGUUUACACACAUACAUACUAAAUACCCCAGAAUGCAUUUCGUGCCGGCCGGACGCAGCGCCGGGAAAAUUUAAAUAGUCCUACCACAAGCUACAAAGAACGACUGCAUACCGGACAAAUUAUAUAAAUUCAUUCAAUAAUAAUAUUUUUUCUAGCGAGAAAGUAAGUGUUUACAUCACGAUUAUGAGCCCAGUUGUUUGAAAUAGUGGCUGUUUGUAAAUUUGUCUCGGCGUUUUCGGAGACCGAAGCGUCCACUUGGUCGGUGUUUGCGUCUAUUUACCGUAAACACCGGGCAGCAGCAGCUCCCCCUUCACGUUUCCAAAUUAUUGCGAAGUGUUUUCAUAAUCAACAUCUACACGACACAAACCGGGCGGCAGUGGAUGAAAAAAAUCACACAAACAUCCGUGUAUCCAUGGUGAUAAUGCUAUACACCACCUGCUAGGCGUGUGAUGAGCAGCAGAGGGCUGCAAAAUGACCAACACACAACAACAUGUAAAUAAAAAUGUAACACUUUUAUAUAUUGAAUAAAUGUACAUUUGCUUGUCAAAUUAUGUUAGUAUCCAAGAAUUAUAUUAUUUCAGCCUAUUAAUUAAACAAGUAAAAUUAGAUCCAAAGCCUGGAAAUAGUUGUGACUGGUUUAGUGAAAACUGCAAAGAUCAUUACCAUAGCAAUUAAAAGACCAUCUGCAGACCUUGCCUUCAGUAGUUUCAUGUGAACUACAUGGUAAAAUGUAAAACUUUUGGUUCCUGAUUUAUGCAGUAAAAAUAUUCAUUUGAAAGACCUGGCCUAUUUCAGUUUUGUGUGUUACUGAUGGUUUUUAAUGAGGCAAACGUGAUUCAAUGCAAAGUAUUACAGUGAGAGCAAAACAUUUCUUAUCCGAUUACUCGAUUAAUCGACAGAUUAAUCGAUAGAGUACUCGAUUACUAAAAUAAUCGAUAGCUGCAGCCCUAUUGUUAUGUAAAAGCACAAACAUAGGAGUCAAGAUAGAAAAACUACAUAGUAGGGCCAUGAAGCAUGUUUGUUUGAUUAAGCGGUGAAGAUGUUUUCAUUGUGAUUUUGGCUCGUGCUUCACUGUUCAACCUCACUCCAGUAAAAAGGAUAAGCUAAUACAGCUAAAUACAGACUUCAUGUUGUGCUGUGGCGUUCAGCACCCCUGGCUCCAAAUAUAUGGCUGUGUGCUAUUGUUUGGCUGCCAGUGUUGCCUAGCAACACCAACCAAAACAGUUUCUAUGCGAUGCUGUUUGUAUUGACUUGGCCUUCAUGCUACCUUUGCAUAUGAAGGUAACACACCUUAUUAUCAAGAUGUUCUCUCCAUGAAUAACAGACCAAAUAACAUCAGACUGCACUACUGACAUAUUUUUAAAUGUUAACCAUGAGAAAGUUAUUUAAUGUAUCAGGUGCAAAUUCCUAAAACACAUAUUUGGGAAUGCUUCUAGUUUCCAGUGACCCUGAACUUUAAGCCACAGAUUGUGAAUACUAAUAUGCACUGACAGGAUAUAAAGAUCGAAUUCACACUCCCUGGACUUGCAAAAUAUUCAACUGUGACAAGCGUUUCACUGAGGAGGGAAAUUAUGCUCCAAAAAUAACUAAUUUCUUGAUUUCAGGACCCACUACUGACAGAUCCAAAAAGCUAAACAUUUAUAAAUACAUUUGCCUCGUAUCAUGUCCCAAGUAAUCUUUUUUCUCUUGGGACACAUCCGUUUGCACACAGACCCAUAAAUCUUUGCACUUUGUUGUCAUGUGGCAUUAAAGCCAGGGCUUACACAUUUCCAGUCUGGCACCUUUACUGACACAUCUUGGAGAGGGUAGGUGGAUCCUGAUUCCUGUCUCGGCAGCUCUCUUGUUUCUUCUCCCAGCAGAGGCCAUUGACUUCCACAGCAGCAAAGUCUCCUGCUGCACUCGGUCACAGCAGGCUAUCUGGCCACUGUUCAAAGCCUCGCGGAUAGAGAAAAGUCUCUUCCACAGGGUCAGUGCUGCACAAUGUGCAUCUGCCAUGUCUUAAUAUCACUAUAACUCAGUAGAACAAGCUUAUAUGAAUUUCUUUAUUUAACAAAAACUAAAAACCCUCAAAUUUUUGUGAGUUAUUUCCAAAUAAAAUAAGAAAAGUGAAUUAAUUCCUGUUUUUUCAGUGCGAAUUUAAGUGCACAGGCUAUUUCUCAGAUACAAAAGUUAUGGUAGUGCAUAAAGAUGAAAUUAAUUUUCGUCCUACUUCGACAUCAUUACUCAACAAGCAUGAGUUUAAUGGUUAUAGGGCACUGAUGACCAACAUGAACUGGCUUGUAGCACGUUCUCAAACACAUGUACUUCAGUUGUCUGAGGCAGCUGCACGCUGAUAAGGUCUUGGAUUGCACUCAAGUUCAAGUGAACCACGAAAGGCUUCCUUCCUUUGCUCUCCAACCUCCCACAGAGAAAUGGAAAAACCAGAGGGGAAGGCUGGAAAGAGUCUCAUUGGAUGAACCUACAACUUGGGGGUGUACCAGAUUGAUGCAGGCAUAUAGCAGCUGGUCUAUUCUGACUAUUAUACAGUAUUUGUUUCUAAACUGCUUUCAUUUUUCGAGAGGUUUACAAAUCCUCGAUCUCAGGGCAACAGUUUUGGGAUACAUGAGGAAUUAAAUUUUUUGCGAGUUACUUUCGAUGCCUUAGAAUAUCAAAUAUGUGCCUCUGACAAUUUACAAGAGGUCAUGUCUGAUAACCUCGAGUCCUUAUAUUGGCUUUCCUGCAGUCUAACACAGGAAAAACAAUCUAGAGUUAUCUUUAUAAAGUUAAAAGAUUUUAUAGGCUCCUUUUAGGCCUUUAUUCAGAGAAGAAAAGACAGUUUUAAGAUCAUGAAACCAGACUAGAGAAUGUGAAGUGACAAACGGGACAGGAAAGAAGCCAAAGGUUGUAAAAUAAUUAGGUCAACUUGCUUUAGUACUCGUCUGUACAUGGGGUGCAUGACUGAACCACAAGGUAAAACUGGCACCCUAAAUAUCGGGGAUUCUACUAUAAUUAAAAAUUAAAAACCAGCUAAUCUUAACAUCAGAGAUUCACUCUGGUUGUUUUUCUUAUUUUAUGGGAAAAUGACAGAAACAAUAAGCUUUUUGACAAAGGUGCAGAUUGACUAAGAUUUACGUCAAUGUUCAGAGUCAAAAAAAAAAGCGAUGUCUGGCCUUUUCAAACAACUGCAAAGUUCACAUUCCCGCCCCCGCACUAUUUACACAGCUCAGUACAGUAUUGACUUUAACAGUGAUGUAUUGUACAGAUGUGAAGAACAUGACCUUAAAUCUUCUCCUCUCCAUAAGUGUUGUACCUUGGGGUUCAUAAAAUCUGCAGUAUUCAUGUGAAUAGGUGGUCGAGUGAAUGCUCUUCCCAUACGGAUGUCUUGACAUAUAUAUAUUUCCCUAACAGCUUCUACCUGUACUCUUCUUAUCCUCAUCAUCAAAAGAAAACACCUCUUUUAUGGACGGGCAUGGAAUAGUCAUUUUCAGCCCCCUCCUCCCCCUGAAAGCUCUCUCUAAGAGGAUAAAGGCAAGGAGACAUCAAGUCGAUUUGUAGUCGCUGAGUCAUUCUUAUAUCCGUGAGCCUUUUAAUGCAUGGGCAUUAGUGUAUUAAAAGUGCAAACAGCAAAGGGAAAGGGUCAGAGAAAAUCCAUCCGAGUAUAAAUUUACAACUCUCAUGCAUACCUUGAAAAUACACAGUUAUCCACACGUUUACUUUCUAUCAUACCUUUAAUCUAAUUAUUUAAUAAAUCUCAUUCCUGAGGCUGCUAAAACUUAAAGCCAACAAAUGUGGGUCUUUAAACAGGCCUUGGUUAGCGAGGUUUAUCUGGUUAUUUGUCACAGAGAGAAUGCUUUAAAGUUCACCCAGAGGCUGCACCUUGUCUUCUUACUGGAUGUCUGUUAGCCAUUUUUGUUACUUGUCAAAGGUUAGUCUUUCUCAGAAAUGAAUAUGGCCUUUGGGCGAGGAAUCCUACUUGAAUCAGUCUGAAGGAAAAAGGAGGUGUCCUGUCGGCAGUUUAGAGGAAUGAACUUAGAUCUGACAUGUGCUUUACCAAGUUGAUAUAAAUUGUUAGCCUUUUACUUGUCAUAUCUACAGACUCAGAAUAGGGGUGUGUUAGAUUAAAGAGGACUCUGCAACCCAGAGGGAUCAUCGUAUCAGCACAUUCUCUUGACAUCCAUUGUAUGCCCACAAAUGGAUGCAUGGUAACACUGUACAUAAUGCACAGGCCAAGUCCUUGGAUGCAGACUACAGGCAACAACCGGCCCGUCCACACUGCACCAUGAAUGAACUGCAUUACUCAGCUGUCUUGGAAAGACAAUAGUAUAAUUCAAAAGGGAUCCUGAGUUCACAGUGUUUUGAGAUAAAAUGUGUAUGAUAAACCUUGGUUUGAAUAACUCAAGGAUCUCACAGACCCACUGUAAAGAGAAUUAGUAUUUAGUGACCCAUUGGUUUCCAAGUUAUUAAGGUUACAAGAUUGGUGAAUCAGAGGCACAGCUGAUGCGACUAACAGGUGGACAAAUCGUUCCUAUAUGCAAGAUAGGUUGAGUCAGCAAUGCAAACAUGGCAACUGCCGCCAAUAGGCUUCAAAACUCUGCUUUAUGGGCGACCUCACUUACGCUAAAGCCAAUUAUUAAACAAUGUGUGAUGUUUUCUCAUCAUGCCAGAUGUGCUAGAUUACACACCUAGACAUUGUGGCACUCUCUGAGGUUACUCUUGUUUUAAUGCUUCGAUCAAGACUGACAGCAACAGCGACUGAAACAUCGCUGGGAUCCCUUGUUUGUUGUCCUCACUGCUGAUCACUCUGUCAUACUGGCUCAGCCGCUACACUGCCUCUGCUGUUUUUAUACACACUGCACCUCACAUCUGCGUUGCACAUGAAUGGUUAACAGUAAGUAAGGUGAUGACAUUUUUACAGCAGAAUCAGCCUGCAUGAGUACAAUGAUGUAUGUUUAAACGUUCAGUUAAGGCUCGAUUAGUUGAUGAUUUCUUCAUCUCUUUGUUCAACUGUGUUUUCACUUUAAAGAAUGUCACUCUUCAAUCUAACUGUAAAGUGAAAUUCAUCUUUAGUCAUCUGAUUACAAACUGAAUGCAACCUUGGAAACAACAUAUAGUGAUCAGAUGACUAGAAGUCUGAUCUAUGUCAACAUCCUUGUUCAAUGUCAGUUCUACAUGGCACAAGCAGCACACACACACAUAAAUUCUAUCCAAAAAAGUAUAAACAGUCUUUCUUUUUUCUUUGAGCAAAUUUUUCUUUAAUUGGGUAGUAGUCAAUUUUAGUCAGAACUUGGCAAAAUAAUUUCAAUAAUGAACAUGAUAAAGAAUGGUGAUAAAAAUCAAGAUCGUAAUUCAGCUGCACAAAAACGGUGGGAAGAUAUUUUUGCUACAUCCUCUACUCCUUAAUCUGAAUUAUUACAGUGUGCUGUUGAUAUUUAAGCUCUCCUCUUCAGGCCCAGAGCUAAGAUUUAUAUUUUAAAUGUCUGAUGGCAGCUCAACAGUUCGCUGAUAUGUCUACAAGCCAAAGAGUGAGCUUUUCGUCCCCCAUACCUUCAUUGCAGAUAUGUGUAAAAAUGUCAAAUUCUUGAUAAUAGGAAAAUCUGCUCUUUCCGUACAUGCAGCCCACCAGGAAAUUUGGGAGGAUUUUCAAAAGUGCAUGGGUGAAAACCAGCACCACCAUCUCACACAAUGACUAAGGACAGACGGACAAAGACACAAUUGCUGUGUUUUAUUUAACCAACAUGAAAACACCUAGAAACUAGGAACUACUUUUAUUGUGUGUGUUACGUUACUUAAAGGUUACAACAUGCUUGACUUGAAUUUUAAAACUUGGAGAGAAUAUUGUUGUAAACUGCUCUUGAAUAUUUUUUACCUUCAACAGCAGGGUACUUCAGUUUUUUUCUAUUGAACAGUCCUGAAGUGUUUUCUCUGCAUUGGUUUUCAGAAAGUAAUGCUAUGAAUAACAGUAAAACCAUCAAACUUAAUAGAUGCCAAGGUCUUCAACUCCUUAAACUUUAUAAAUCCAAGUAAAAGAAUCAAAUGUUUGUAUCAUGAUACUUUGAUGUUGUAGAUUUACUGAACUAAAAGACCAAAACAGUGGGACUUUUUGUGUGUUUCUUUGGAGAGUGUUAAGGGAGUUCUCAUCAGGGCAGUAGGACAGACAUAAUCUGAGUGUCUCAUGCAGUCAUCAUACUUUUCUUGCUUUACAUUUUUAGAUUUUCCUUGUCUGACCUACAGCAGGCUCACAAAGAAGAAUAGUCUUUAGGGAAAUACUCUGACAUAUGGAAAUUAAUCUUGUAUGGCAGGACGCCUGUGACAAAUUACUAUUGCCCUGAUAUCUAUUUAAAAAGUUUACCCGUCAUGUCACUGCGCUGAACCUAAAAAAAAAAUCAGAGUUGCUCAUAAACACAGCAGUCUCCCUGAGCGGUAAAAUUAGUCAUUAAAAUGCUUGGAGAGUAGUUUGGGGAACAGUCUCACAUGCUGUUGAACCAGUCCAUGUGAAUAAUAAAAACAUCUAAAAACCAGGGAACCUGUUUCCACUCAAAGGGAAGCUUAAACUAGUCAUUUAAAAGGCCUAUUUAACUGUUAUUAUUAUUAAGGAAGAUGUUUUAGGUGUGUAAACUAUCAGGUAGUAAAAUUACUGCUUCUUGGAUUCACAACAAAGUAUCUCAUGUUGCCUCACUAUACUAAAAAAAUCACCAUUAAAUCCAAUCAGAGGAAAGGCAUGAAACUAAGUACACUUUCUGAGGAACUUUUCGGUUCCCACACAUGCUCAAUUUGCACAAAUGAGGCAUACACUAAGCUCCCGAAAAGAAGAAAUAAUUGCCCAAACAAAGAGAAGGAAAAAAACAUCCAAAAAGCAGCAGUAACAACCAAGAAGUAUGUGCUUUAGCCCUUAGACCGUAAAUGUAUUGGGGUAGUGAGAGUGGUAUCAGGCUCACCAUGGCUGAUUACAUAGCUUAAUGGUCUUGGCUUCACCUCAUGUUUUACAAGCCCAAAUGGUCCCAGUGGUCUGAUAAAUCAUCGGCAUAUCGAGUCAAACUGCUCCAAUGAACUGUUGCCAUUCCCAGGUUCCUAACUGACAUACAGCAGGCCAAUAUAAAUACCCCUCUUCCUGUAAUGGUCACAUUUUUUAAAAGACUAUUUUUGCCUCUUUCUUUUAUUAUGGUGAGCUUUGUGAAACAUUGUUCUUAGCUUGAAAUCCUAUCUUUUGAUGCUGGGGACAGGGUAUCAAAACAGAAGGGGGAAAAAAAGAAAUAAAAAAAUAAAAAACAGUACAGCUCUGCUCAGACUGUGUUUUUUUUUUUUUUUCCAGCACAAUGCAUUGCCAAGAAAACGUCGAGUGCUCUACAGGUGGUCUGUGUGGGGGAAUGAAGCUGUGAAAAGGUUACCGCUGACAGCUCUGCACACAGCUCUUUAUGUGAACAGUCUUCCUGUCUGAGCACCCCUCUCAUGCUAAAUGCUAUCAGGAAAUGUAAACAUGUUCUGCGGCAGGUAUUUUCAUUGGCUUCAUUUAAGUAGAUGGUGUUACUUAGCCCUUGACCGCCUUCUCUUUCAGGCCUCAUUUGAUCAUUUAAACUUCAUACAUGUAGCUUUGAAACAUACUCUCUAUAGGUAUUCCCCAGGCUAGAAUAAAAGUUUAAAAACUGCUAUAAUAAUAACCAAAAAAUGCCAAAUAUGAACUUAACAUGCAGCUUUCAAACGAGAUCUGUUAAAAAUCCAAUAUUCUUAUGAAUAUUAUCCUGUUCUGUUCAUUUGAGAUUUUAUAGCAAUUUCAUUAAGUCAGUCGCUUAAUUUUAUUUGUAUAUCAGGGGACCACCAAAUCCACUGCAGAUUAUAAUGUGUAAACUAAGAGUAAGCGUUUAAAGCAAUGGUGCUGUGCCUUUGUAGAUUUGAUGCAAUAGCAGAAUAGAAAUUUGAUAUGUGUCAAAAGCUUUGAUUACAUUUUACAGUGUAGCUAGAGCUCAAACUUUAAAGAUAAAUGUAACAGUUUGAAUAAUAUUUAUGUAUAUGAACACACACACAUACACACACUCACACACAUUCUGUGGAGUGAAAAUGCUGCGAUAAAAACAAGGGCUAAACUGGCUUGAUUAACUGGAAGCAAGUACCGAAAAUUCAGAUUUUCCCUUUGAUUCAAAUCUGAUCUUAAUUAGACACACAAAGAGAAAAAACUAACCAACAAAUGGAUGUGGGGCUUGUGAAUGAGCAUGGCAGCUUGGGGUGCAUGGUUUAAGUUUAAUGGAUUUACAUGAGUUAUGAUUCAUCAGCAAAACACUGAAUCACCAUAUUUAGAUGCUAAGUUUCUUCGUGAUUACUUUCAGGGACUUAUAAUCCAAGAAAUGCUUGCUUUCCAAAUGCGGCAGUGUCAGUGCCAAAUCAUCUUAUUGUGAGGUGGCAAAGACGACUCUGAAACUGAAGGACUUUCAUGUAGACAGACCAUGAAUCAGCUCCCAAUGCCAAGAGAUAGCGGGCGAUAUGACAGCUUUUUAUUCGCAGUUGACUGCAAUGUUCUUUGGCUCUGCAGAGACUAAAUACCCUGUGCAUGAAGAGCCAGAGGGUUUUUAACCAGGUCAAGUGACUAACUUUGAGGUCUGCAAAUAUUAUUUGAUCAUUAUUGUCUAGAGAUUUAACAUUUUGGCAUUAAAUACUAUGAGUAUUUACUGUACUGAAAACAUGGUAGGAAUAGAUGUGAUCCAGGCCAUUUUUACGGUUACAAGUCCAUUGUCUGCACACGCAAAAAUAUAAUGCUGCAGUGAAGUUUAAAGUGUUUUUCGAAAUGAUGGAGAGGGAUUUAAAGACAACCAUGACUUCGCUUCAAGCUUCAUGAGUGUAAAUAUAAAGUCCCUCUGAAGAAAGCAGAAAGAAAUUUAAGCCUCCAUUAAAGAUUUGUUUGUUGCAAUAUGGACUUACUGGGCUCUACAAGCUUUACCUACAGUGAAAGAGGGUGUUGCAUUUCAAACGAUUCAGCUUAUGCUGUUCGGAGGGUCUUUUUUAUCUGCUCUGAGUAAAUAAAUAAAGUAUAAGCAUAUUUCAAAGACCUUUGUAAAGUGAGGCAAAAGAAGAAUGAAAAAUAGACAAGUUUGCGCAAAACACAGACAUAAACAAAAGGUAUGAAAUUAUUAAUAAACAUACCAGGGAGAGCAAGCGAGUUUUUUAGUGAACUGGAAUACAUAAGAGGAAUCAUCGAGGCCAUGAGAAAUCGCACGGGUGCAGAGGCAAAGUAACAUAAUUUUGCAGAAUGGCCGAAGGCGAAGGAGGCAGAAAAUGUGCAGUCUAAUUCUGAGCUUGAAUCUGAGAGAAUCAAGACCAAUUUUAAUGAUAUGUAAUUAAGGCCUAAACAAAUUUUCCCCAAAGGAUACGAUUAAUGGGGAACUUAUUACAGGCUAUGGCACCCAAGGGGGUAAUACAUUCAUACUAAUCUCAUGGCUGUCAGCCUAGGGGCUUCACUGCAAUUGAAAUGCCUUCAUAUUAAGGGCAAGAACAGACAGGAGGUAGAGUGUCCAGGGAGUUAAAAUAAGAGGUAGGAUAAAUUUGCAGCAGUGUUGCUUAAAAAGUCAAAACAAAUCAAUGUCAGGAACAACACAACUUGCAAUAGGUGCAUUUUGCAUACUGUUUCAUUAUACACCCAUGAAUUUACAAGGACAAGUGUGGGCUUUCAUAUUGCUUUACAAAAACAUGACCACGGAUCAAAACACAAAACAGUUAACGAGAAAAAUCGAGAUGCAUAUUACUGGAAACAGGCCUGCAUGUUGUGCAUUUAUUGCCUGCAUCUUGUGUUUGUUGGCACACGUGGGAAUGGGAGCGCUAGGAAAAACCCUAGAAACCUGAGGACAGACAGAAUCAUAACAUCAAUUGAGUCUGGGCACAUUUAGCAGCGUUACAUUCCAUAUAAUGAUUAGGUAUCAGCAGGGUAUGACAAAUCACCACUUUUGGCAUUGUGGUUGCAUUAAUUGCUUGCACACAACCAGCUCCAUUACCCCAGCUGGGCGGAGUUAAAAGCGUGCAAAUAAAAAGUGCCUCUCAAAUCUUUCAGUCUGCAGACAAACUGGAGACAGUGGCAUUGACAAAAAAGUUAAUGUCAGAAGAAGGCCAGUGAUUGAUGACUCUCUACCUGAAAGCUGGGAGUGUGUCUAAAGCAAUGAAACACCCCUCACAUGGAGAACAGAGUACAUAGAACGCAAUCGGAUAGCAGGGAUAAAUGGUUUUCAUGUUGUACUGUGGGUCAAUUGAGCCAGAGGAAUCUCAGCUAAGAAUGUAAAGGAUCUUUAUCCUCUAAAUGUACAUUCAUUCAUUCAUAUGCAAUAAUGACAAAAAAAUGUUGUCUUUUUGAAGAACUUCUUUUUUCUACUUCAUCACAACGCUCAUUUAAUAGAGAUGAACAUCUCAUCCAUAUACACUAGUUCAGUGCCCCUGUUAAGUGGAUAAAGUGGCAGAAAACACUUCAGUUUAAUAACCCCUGAGUGAGAGAAGUCUCAAAUCAAAAGUGCAAUAAUUAGCAAGAGUUUCCAUAAGCUAGCAUGAAGUCAUUAAAAUGUUCACUGGUGGUGAGGUAGGCAGCGGUUGGUAAAAAUAUUUUUGAUAAGUUUCACUAAUGAAAUAAAAAGACUUCCAGCAUCUGUGACAGUCACUUGAUAAAGAUUCAAAAGUUAAUUUAAUCCUUUUCUUGUUUUGAACACUGACUCUUUCAAGCACUCGAAGAAAAAAAAAGAAUACGAUUGUAUUGGAAAUGUCUAAUGUUGAUGCAGAUGUUUCUCAUUUUAUUGCCAUUCAUGCCUUAAAUAUAUCUCCCCCUUGAAAAAUAUAUAUGAAUUUUGCAAGAAUAAAGAAAAUCAUAGAAUAUAUCUCAGAAUGAAACACAUAUGCAGCUUUUACUCAAAUUAGGUAUUUUUUUGCCCUUAAGUGUCAACACAUGACAGUCACACUUACUGAACUGUCCAUUUCUAAAACACUUGCUGUCAGUUUGGGUUGAUUUUGGCGCCCCCUGUGGACAAAGUUAUAGCUCUCAGUUCUUUCCUUAUUUUUCCCUGUGCGUUUUUUAAUGAUAUCUUGUUAAAAAAAAAAAGAAAAGAAAAGAAAAAGAAAGAAAGACAGAAAGAAACCCUGCUUCAUUUAACACAUUUAUGUAUGACUCAUUUAAAAUCUUUGCCUUGGGGAAUGUAAAAGGAAGACCGCUAUUUCUGAGGUAUGCAAUUUACCACGUAAGCCGACACCAACCCACACCACUCGAUACAGACAUUGAAAAUGAUAGAAAUAAUCUCUCUUUAUGGGAUGGCCUUGUUUACUUGUGUAGGCCAACACAAGAGCUUUAAGAGAAGACUGUGCAAACAAUAAGAACAGGCAUUGCAAAGCUUGUGUUGGAGUAACUGUAAACACCGCCGUAGUUAUUGGUAACUUAAACAAUAGCAGAACAGAAUAAGUACUGAACUAAUUACAGAGCUUACAACAUUCAAUGUAACCCCAGCCAAUUAACCUUGCAGAGAUCUCUGUAAAUGUUUCCUGCUGCUCAACGAGCUCUUGCACAAUCCGUCCAUACAUCCUGUUGUUGUUUGCAUUAUUGUCAGAAAUGCUUCGUUUCCAACUCAGAGAAACACUGCCUGUAUUAUCAACAAACAAAUUGCCCUACAGUUCAGUACGAAGGCUGCAAAGUAGAUGCGCAUGGUUUAACUGGCCUCCUAAACAUCAGGCUAAUGGGCUAAAUUGCUUUCAGAUUGAAUGACCAGCUUCGGCUGAGGAAGUGAAAAGAAAAAAAAAAUAGCUAGAUGAGAUGAUGGUGGAGACGUGUAUUUGAAUUUGUCUGCACUACAGUUACCCAUUUAAUAACAUUAUACAGGUUAAACUCAAGUUGUUUACCAGUAACUGAUAACACCAACAUGUGGCGACCUACUCUCUUUAAUGUGUGAAUGUCCCUGGCUUAAGAAAAGGGAAUACUGACUACAUUUUAAAUAAUUGGAAACACACUUACAGAAACACACACAGUACAAAGGAAUGAAAAUAUCAUCCGAGGGCUCUAUGUAUACCAGCAUGUAUGUAAUCCUCUGACAAUUGCCUGUGGAGGUGGAACAACAUCAUAAGGAGGCUAAGAUGAUACUGUAUAUCCCCACUCCUUGACUUUGCCUUGUUUUUGAAGAUACCGUGAGAUGAAAACUACAAGUGUAACAGUGUAUGGUGGUAUUUGAACCCUCGGAAAUGGGCAGAAAAAUAAAGAGAGCUGGAAUUUGCCCUCUUAGAUGUGACUGUUUUGGUAGCGGAGGAAACUCCCAGAGCUGGACAAGUUGAUCAAAACCAAGACAAAACAACUAAUGAAUGGGGUUUUCUGGAACUAUACCUUGAUGGAGCAACUAUACUGGUAAGACUCACACCAGUGAGAAGAAAACAAGGCAAUAAUACUGAGAAAAAUCAAGAGGUAUCCUUUGUUGGUCUCACCACAAUCCUCAAACAUCUUUGUCUCCGGCUGGCAGGACACGCUGGCCUCUUUCUUGCUAAUGUGUUUUCCUCUGCCUUUUGUGACGGACCCAGCAUCUGUGUCAAAUUAUGCCCACAAAAUCUAAGCAGAAGUGGCUGCGUCGGCAUUGUAUUUAAGAUGGAGGUUUACUUUGCAGAGCACUUUGCAUAUUCCCAUGAAGCCCUUAGAGUGAACCCUGGAGCCGGAGCCAGCCCAAUCAGAAAACACCUCAUAACAUUCACUGACAGUAAUCAGAGGGAUAUGUUGCAAUCACUGCUACACAGCGAGAGUCCUGCUCGCAGGGAGCAGCAUGAGGUCCUGCUACUGCACAGCGAGAUGCUCCCCCUCCACUGUCAAAAUCAAUGCUUUUAGACUUACUUAUUAAUAAAUAUGGCCAAUUACGGUGCAGAAACUAUUUGCCAACAUUCUGAAUCAAGUUGCUCUUUAAUAGUGCACCAACACUACAGUUGUUGUGACACAUCUUAACACAUUAAAUAAUCACAGAUUAACAUCACGCAAUACUUCCCCUGUUUUUACAACAACUCGCUGAAGAAUCAAGUGAAGUUACGAAACCCAGUUUUGCAGUUGAAUUUGGGUUUCAGUGUCAAAGCUCAUCAUUUUAUAUCUUGUUGUUAAAAAACAAUAAAAAAUGUAAUACUUGAUAUUUCAUGAUUUGAAUGUUGUGUAACUGCUCUGACACUUUGGUACAUUUAUUGGUAAUGUGCUCAAAGCCUUUCAGGCUGGCACAGUCAGCAAGAGAAAUGUUAGUUCUUCAUUCUGUCUUAUUCCUGGAAAUGUUUGUCUCCAAGCUGCUACUUCAAACUCAAUCAUUUAAUAAUUCUUAGAAGUGUCCCUGUAGCGAUUUACACACACGGAUAUCAUAAAAAAAAAGAAUAACAAAAGGCCGGGUGUUUCAUCAACUGUCUGUCUUUCUGCUCAGAGAGACAGGCUCAUCUGUCUCUCACCAGAUCCCUUUCCGAGUGCCAGCAGAGAGGAAUAACAAGCGGCUAAGUAUUUUCUUCUGUUUGACCCAUGACAUGUGGCUCCCAGGCUGAAAUGAAGCCAAAGAAGAGGGAAAUCUCCAGGCCGGAGCACCAAAACAUUGUCCUGUCAGCACACUGCUUGUCUGAGGAGUCCCUGGCUUGUCAGCAAGGAGUUUGGGAGCUGAUGUUUUUUGGCUUCCACUUUAAAAAGGAGAUAAAGAUUGACUGUUUUCUUUCUCUUUUUUUUCUUUUUGUCUGGUGAUCUCCUGACCCUGAUCUGUGGGCAGACACUGUUUCUUUUGUCUGUCAUCUGGAAAAAACUGUUCGGUGAUUUAAGAUGUGUGAAAAGAUUUUGGUUUUUGUUGCAUUAGAUAAAGAAGCACAGGGUAAGGCUGGUGAUUAUUACCGCAAUUAAGAUUCAACUGAGAUCUUUAACCGUCGUCUGUGAUUGCUGAGUUUUAAAUAACUGAGUGCCCCUCUCUGCAAACCUUAACAAUAUCAUCUUUUACACUAAAAUACUGCUUUAAAACCCCCAAAUGGACCCAUUGCUGAAGAUGUUGGAUUUACAAAGAUAAAGGUAAGUUCUUUAACAUUGUGUCAUUGUAUAUGAGAUGGUUUGAUUUCACAGCUGCCACUUUCACUCACAGAAUAAGAACACCAAUCUGAGAUAAAUGAAGCAAAUCAUUGCUGUGUAAUGUUUUUCCAAAGUGUGAAAUCUGUAACCAACAUGGUUAUGAUUAAUUCUCCGAACAUAAUUGUUACAGCAUGUCACAGUCUUUUAUAACUACAUUUUUAUUUAUAUGAGCAGUGGAAACAAUCAAAUUAUUUCCUAAACAAAAACAUGAGGACAGAAUCAGCAUUUGGAAUCAAUAAGCCUGUUUAUAAGCAUUUCUGGUUUAAUGCUCUAAGUAUUAUUUCAGGCAGUGUUACAGAUACUCCCACACAUUACAAACAAAUCACCCCACAGGAAUUCAUGACAAAUGCCUUAAUUGUUUCAAAUAGCAGUGGCCAGAGAAAUAAAGAAACAGAAAACACACAUACACGCUGGAGCUCAUAGCCAUUAUUCAUAACAGAGGAAUAAAGAUGCUGUUUUAAUGUGACACUGUACCCUCAUGAGAUUUGGCUAACUACAAUGAUUCCUGGAAUUGUUCUUGAAUGUAGAGCUUUUCUUACUCACUGAUAUUAUUCAAAAAGCUAAAUCCAUGAUAAUAGAUGAUACUGAGAAUGAUUCUAAAAUUGCAUGCAGCUUCACACAGAAUAGGAAUAUAAGGACGCCUGGCGACUUCCGGCGCUGGACAAACGACAGCCUUUUACAGCAACUCUGCGAACUCUAAGGAGUUUUAUCCUCUUUUUUCUAUUUCUUUUGCGUCUUUUUUCUCUAAUUCAUUUUACUGCACUAAGGAGCUCCAUAAGGGACAGGAUGCAUAUUCCAUGUAUAUAGUCAUAUCUAAAAUUUUCCAACUGUGAUAUUUAAACAUGUACAUAUAUCUUAUAUUUAACUCCUACAUUUCUUCAUCUUUUAAUUUCUCUUUUGUAUUCAUCAUUGCUGUAAAUUUGGAAUUUCCCCCUGUGGGACUAAUAAAGGAAUAUCUUAUCUUAUGCCUAAAGAGCACCAAAACAUCUCUAAAUUAAGACACAAACAUGCACAAAGAUAUUUUUUUUCUUAUUUUUCUGCUUCCCCUGUUGUAAUCGAAAGCUACAGGUCAACCUUACAUGUAACUACAAAAGUCCUCAAGGCUCUUUUCAGUAUAGCAGGAAUCUUUUCAGAGGUAUGGAAAGCUUAUGAGGUGAAUAAGCAUGCUGUAUGUCAAGCUUGUAACUGUACUGUAAUAGGCAUGUCUGCAUCGGCGGGACUUUGUGCAGCAACCAGCGAUGUCACAGUUUGACAAUUCAUAAGGGCCAUACACUCAGGCUGUGUCACGCACUGUUGUGUCAUUAGAUGCCUGUAGCAAACAGUGGACACGGCAUACAGACAGAAUAAUAGCAGCUGUAUAAUAAGUAGAUGCGAGUUUCUAGGGAGCUGUGUGUGAUAAAAUGACUACUUUUGUGGAGAGCUGAUGCAUGGUGGUGUUGGGAAAUAAGAGUGUCAAAUCCUGACGUGUGUGACAUGCAUCAACUUGGUGUGACACGUCAUGAAGCCAGGAAAAUAACAGAACAUGCAGAUGUUUUGACACAUGUCACAUGCUGCCCAGGUGUGUUGCCCCUUAGAGGAUGCAAAAUUUUUACUGAACUCCUCCAGGUUAUAUAUAUAUGCCAGAGAAUACCAAAGAAAGAAAGCAAAAACUCAAAGUAUCCGAAAUAGUCAAGGGACAGAUUGAGCCUCAAAGCCUCUUAACUAUGUGACUUGUGAGUGGCCUGAGUACCGGCUUUAACAGCUAAGUGAGACCACUUUGUCACAGUCCUUGGUAUAAUUUACCCAUUUCAGCUGCUGUUAUUAUCACCCUGUCUUGAGCAGUCACUGAAGGCAAAGGAAGACACCGUUUCAAAUGCUGGACAUUUUAUCAUUAAUCGCCAGCUAGAGAGUGAACCGGGGAGAAAAUGAAACUGAAGUGAGAGAAGGGAGCUGGUGAGAAGGGGAAAUAAGACACAGGCUCUUUUUCCAUUUCAUUCCAGUCCAUUUCACAAACAUCCACAUUUGAAAUGUGGAGUGAAGGCAAGAGCUCGGUGCAACAUCCAUCCACACAGCAUUAGGAAUUAACUCUAGAAACAAGAGAUCGUAAAAAGAUGGGCAGAGGAUGACAAGAAGCCAUUGUCAGGGACACUAGAAUCAACGUGAGUGCAGCACCAUUCUUCUGUGUGCACAGAGGUGAGGUGAGGGUUAUGAUUUGUACUUGAUCGUCGAUACAUUGCUGAAGGUGUUUGAGGGAAAGGUUAUGUACAUGGGUGUAAUGUUUAUGCCAAAUGUAUUCUACAACCUUUUGUAUUUUUUAUUCUGCUGUGGUUUUUCUUUUGCAAAGGCAAGUUCAGAUGCAUUUUGAAUUCCAGUAGCUACCAUUGAAAUGCAUUGUGUGUGUUUGUGUUUGUGUGUGUGUCAGUGGCAUGGAGAAAGGCAGGUGUAUGGCAGGAACCCAAGGUGACAGUUGAAAAAAAAAAAACAUGCAAAUGUGUUGCCAACUACCAGGGACGGCAAGCAAGGUCACAGUAUUUCUAUUUUUAUUCUGAACAAGUGAAUCAACCUAACAAACAAAAUUCUGAGAUAUUUGCCAAUUUCAAAAUUAUACCUCGUUUUCAGGGAAAUUACUUUUAAUUGUGUUUUCCUUCAAACAUACAGUAAGUCCAUGAAAAAGCCCCUACAUGUAUAAAUGCUUAGAUAUAGCAGUAGUUUCAAAGAAAAGCUUGACGUUACAGUCUGUGGGGCAUUAACCAUUAAUCUUAAAUUAGUGUAAAUUAAUGGCUGUAGUGAAUAUUUAAACAACAUGUGCUCUACAUUCGACAAAAACUGAAUUCACACUUGGGCCUGCUUCCACUAUUAUAUCAGCUUCACAACCUUGAGCUUGUGCACAAUGAAUCAUCUCAAACUGUUUUGACGAGAGAAAUAAAUGACCGGGGUCAAAGGUCACUGGCUUUGAGGUAGGCAGAGAGGAUAAAACUGCACGGGUCGUAGAACACAACCAACACUCAGCUGCUUGAGGACAAGAGGAAGAACGAGAACAAAGUGUUCUUGGCUCUGGCAGUGCACUGUUAUUAAAAUAUGUCUGUCCAAGAGAACUGCAUGCUGUCUGUGAAAAGAAGAAGAAGAAAAAAAAGAUCCUUUGGGUCCGAGAGCCGAUUCUCCGACACUGUUUCUGUCAGGGAGGCAGAUGAGAGUGUCAGUGCUAAAUUCACAGCGCUGCCAUUUCCUUUUCAGGUUUUAUUUUGGAAUCUGCUCCAGAAUUAUUGUCAGUGGUGUCAGUUGAGUGUUUGUUUUGGUGAUUCGCCAACAGUAUCCAAAAGCGUGUCUGAGAAAAAAAUGGAAAGCAUCACCAAGGAGGACAAAGCAUAACUCCACUAAGCCUUAAGGGUCCCUCAGGCCAUCUUUUAAGGAGGCUGGAGGGUGAAUAUAGCUGUGUACACUCCGCUUGUGACUCCUGUGUCUCCCACUUGGUCGAAAUGGCUGACUAGAUGCUAAUAAGCUUGCUCUGUCAUGCUUAGACUGUCAGACCUGGUGCAACUGCAUGUUAAGAUAAAAAGCCUACAUUUGGCAAUGCUGAAUCCCAAAGGUCCAAGGUCCCACUUAUGUUUUAGCAUAUAAAUGAGCAAAUGUGAUGCUAAUAUAUUUCUAAAACCUUAGCAGUCCUUUGUCCUUGUUCCUGUAAUAGAGAAACUUCUUUGUUUCUUCUUCUUCUGUGUUUCAGCCUGCAGAUAGCUUUUGUUCAUGGCUGGCUGGCCUUACAUUUUGUGCUUGGUGAUUGGCAGUGUCCAGCAGGCCAGUUCCUUGAAGACUACCCCUGUACUGUCUAGAGGUCCUCUGCUAUUGAUUUCCUGCUCGCGCUCGCUGCUUGACCUGCCAAUCAAUGGUCAGAACAGUGGGACGUCAUUGGGAGCAAGUUGACGACGUGUGAUGCUUGGCAGACAUGUAACUGAUGGCACUGAACAAGCUAAACAUAUUAGAAGGAAGGGGAGAGACAGAGACACCCUGCCCGCAAAGGGAGCACACACUACUGCUCCUGUUUUUGUUACAGACAGAAAACCUGAAGUUAAUUUUAAAUUAAAAAGCAGUGAGGGGCUUAUACAUUUGGGGGGAGAUGUCUGAGAAAUCCAAUCACUUCGAAGCGAUCACCUCACACAAGGCAAUGAUUCAGUCGUGUUUUUUUUGUUCUCUUUUCUGUAAAUUGCAAGUGAGAGUGACUUACUGUACAAAUUCAGUCCAAGUUACAAGUGAUUAGCUGUGAAGAAUAAAUCUUCAGAGAAACUCAUUUGAACUGUGAACAGUGGAGUGGAAACUAUUGAGAGACAUCGCACCCCCAGAGUUGGGCUGUGUGAUUUUGGAGAUGGACUCGAAGGGAGGCCCAGAAUAAAUAAAUAACAUUUUCUUCUAAGGACGGCAGUGUGUGGAUUUCUAAUUCAGUGACUUUGAGGCUGAGAGUGCUCUUUGCUCGACGGCUGACUUCAUGACACACAGGCGACAACAUUCCUCUGGCCGUGAUUAAAAUACUGGGGUCGCCACAUGGAUUGGUUCCAACAAGACAAAGAGGAUUUUUGAAAUUUUCUUUUUGAUUAUGUUUGAUACAACAAAAGCUUCAGUAAUGUUAGUUGGACUUACUGUACAUCAGAAAUGAGAAACAAGUUUGAAAAAAAAAGAAAAAAAACUUUACUUUUUUAGGGCACCAAAAAAAAUGGAUUACGAAAU